GAGGUGCCCCCGUUUGGAAAUGCUUUUCCCUACCUUCACUGUGAAAUUUCUCAGGAAAAUCAAAGAGCUGGUGGUGGAGUCAUGUGAAGAUCUAGAACUAAUUGCUGGCCAUGAAAAAUGGGAAGAAGUGACCGGCACCACAAUCACCUUCUCCGAGUUAACUGAUCUUAAACUUUUCAAGUUGCCGAAAUUCAAAAGCUUCUUACCUGAGAAAUACUCUCUAAAAUUCUCGUGCUACGAGAACUUCCCAUCCUUGAAAGCCUUGAGUAUAGUAAGCUGUGGAGCAGAGCCAGACCUAAGCUAUGAAGUAGAGUCGAACCAACUCUCUGAUUACUCGGAAGACUCGGACCCGCGCUAUGAAGCAGAGUGGAACUAAGUCCUUGAUUACUCGGAAGACUCCCAAAUAGAAUGAAGACUUCGCAAGCAUUCAUAAGACAUCAGGUAUUCCUUCAAUAUUUCAUUGCUUUGGUUUGGCUUUUUGUUCCUUUGAAUCAAAAAUCGGUUUGUAUAGCUAAGACACAAUUCUUAGUGGGACCCAGACGCACUCUACAUCACGUGGCCCUCUCUCUUCCUUUUUCUCUCUCUCUAGCUCUCUUUCUUACUCUCUUCAACUAACGAUGUAUCGAUUCCCUUCUAUCCAUCCACCCACAGCCGCCACCGAGAGUCCAUCGCUGGCCACCACAUGACAUGGCGCGCUGAGAAGGGACGAAGAACAGAGAGCAUUGAUCGAAGGCUCUCGGUGAUUUCAAUUGAAUCCUUUCCUCUCACUUGGCUGCUUGUCGUCACCGCUUCCCGAUCACCACUUGUUCUGCUACCGCGAAGAAGUUCUGUAAUGUCGGAGUGCUCGAACUUGGGUCACGACUGCCUACUUCGACGAUUCCAUCCCUUGAUGUUGCUUCUAUUAUUUCUUUACUCAUAUCCGAUCUCAAUUGCUAUAGCUAAUCGUUCUCUAGUCAACUAAACCAUAUAUGCUAUGUUUUCUGUUCCUAUUGCUACUGUCUGUGUGCAAAUCAACGACUAUGAUUGAAGGGUUGUAUUAAUGAUUUGAAGCAGUGCUUCUCGGCCUAAAUUAAUGUAUGCAACCUGUUUGAUGAAAUUCCUGAACUAAGUCGGUGUGUAUUUUUUAUUCAAUUCUUGACCGAGAAUUCCCUUGAUUACUAGAUUGUUGAUCUAUACUGGUCAUUUAAGCAUAUUUGAGUUGUGUUUCUUCAUAGAAAAAUCAUAGGUGUUCAAUUUCAAACUUGUUUGGAAUCUGCUGGAACCUUGUCGAUACUUGCUGAUUCGCCAUUGUUGCGGCCCUGAGCUGAUGUCAAUUGGUCCUUGAUUUUAUGCUAUUCCACUCAAGUAAGCAUGUGCAGUGAUAUAAGAUUGUCUUAUGGUGAAUUUCAUGUUUGUUUGGAAAAGAAAUUAUGUCAUGGAUGAAUGAAAUUCUACUGGAAAUUGAUCCAUGUAUGCUGGCCCUGUCUUGAUAUCCCUGAUUGGGUGUGCUUUUGAUUCCAGCUUGAAGCUAGUUUGGUUAUGGGAUCAUAUAUGUUCAUGCUAGGAAAGUAAUAGGGUGAAUUUCAUACCAUUUAGCGAGAAUUGGGUUCAUCUCCGAACUUGAAUAUGCUAGAGCGAAGUAUUGCAUGCUGACCAUGAUUGUUUUGUUUAAAUUUGGCACUAAUUUGGUCUUUGAUUGAUGUCAUUUUGAUCAAGUAGACUCAUAUGCACUUAUAGGAUGAUAUGGCUCCUAUUCAUGUGAAUUAGUCAUCAAAAGAUCACAAUUUGUGGUCUUUAUGCUCUGUUACAAUUUUGAACACGUGCCGGAAUUUUUGUCUUUAUUUGGUUGCCUUCUUUAUUGCCCGUGGAUAAGUGAUAUGCAUGUGCAUGAUUAAAUUGAUGAGACGUGCGCUUGAUAUUGCCAUGAGAGUCUUGGCCUGAUAAAUAAUUUAGAGGACUCUAAUGUUAAUUGAAGUUUAAUUCCAUAAUUCUUGCGAUUCCAAAGGAAACCCUUUACUAGUACACAUAUUUUGAAGGUGAUAUGGUAGACUAAGCCAGAUUUGAGGAAAUCCCUCAACGAAGCUAGUCAAUGAGGCCCCUCGAAAUAUCGCAUGUAUGACACUUGCCAACAAAGUUCAUGUAUUCUCUUCCUCUCCUUUGACGCUCACCGUUCAAGGCUUAUUUACAAGAGCUAUUGCUUAAAUCUAAUUGAUCCUUCAAGUGUGUGUGUUUGUACCAAGACACUGUGCACAACACCAAUUGCAACCUACUCAUUCAUGAUGUCCUUUUUCUAGGAGUGUUCACUGGUCACUAUUGCUCAGAAUGAUGUUUCAAAGAUACAAUUUUUGUUUUCCUCCCUCCCCCAUAGAAUUUGCAAAGGCAUGUCACUAGCACUACUAGUAACCUGCCCUUGAAAUCCAUCAUGACCCUGCCCAUAUGAUCCACCAGGAGUAGGUCCCUAGUUCCGAUUGUCUCUCCUAUAAACUAUUCUGCAAUGGAGGUGCAGAGCUCCAUCUAUCUCCUUGCAUCUAUCUCCUUGCAGCAGGUCUCUCUAUUGAUGAUAGUAAUAAUUUUUUAUGACCCUGCUGAUAGGAGGUCCCCUGAUCUGAAAAAGUUGAAUCUUUUCCCUCUAAGAAGUUUAUGCUAUAAAUCUCGAAUGGAAAACACUUAGCCAAGAAGAACUUGAUGAACCAUAUGAAUUUAUCUUAAUGUCCACACGAUAACAUCAACUCAUCCAAAGCAUUUUAUACAACAAUGGCAUUGUGUGUCCUUUCCACAACUUGCUUUAAUCAAUAGAGAAUAUCCAUCUGAAUCACAACUUUGUCCUGCUCAGCUCAUUCUACUCAUAUUUCUCAAUUUCAGCAACUCAAAACACUGCGAUUUAACCCAAAAUCACUUGAAAAUUUUGUUAUAUAUCAUUGCAUUUGCAUACUAUUAGAAUCGAAUGCCACUAAUUUUACAUAGUCGAUCAUGUCGUGAGAGCAUCGGGAAGAGUGGUGGGCUAUCCGAGGAUUUUGCCACCCACAUCGGGAAACGUUUCGAAACCGGCCAAAGGACCAACUUUACCGUCUCUGCUCACAUGGAUGGGAUACUGUAUCAGGUGGCCUCUCAUUUCCUUGGGAUUAUGUUGGUCCUCAUCCACAUAAGCUUUCCAAUUCUGUUUGGCUAUUUUGUUCACCCUCUUCACGCAUUCAGUGCUUUGAGGUUCCCUAAAGCUGUCCUCUAAAUCUCCAAAGUGCUCUGCCCAAAGCAACAUCCUAUAACCAUAAACCUACGCAGCAUAAGCUAACAUUAUUAGUCACAAGCUUAAGGUUUUGAUAGAUGUCGCUACACUCGCAAGGGUGUCUACCUAGUACCUCUAUUUAGAUAAGAGGCUAAUCCGAUGUACUAACCUGGCCAUGCGGAUGCCUCUUUUUCCCAUCCCAAGUGUGAUGCGGCUGAUAAGCCCCAUUGCGAUUUCGGUGUCUCUUGAGCCAUCUAGAGAUCUUUGGUUGAUAUUUGCCGAUCCCAUGAUCACAUACUCAUCAUCUACUAUCAUCCCUUUGGCAUGCACGUAUAUCAUGAACCUGUGAAACUUUUGAACCGAAGCCUGCAUGGAUAGAAACGACAGCAUGUUUCAAAGCAGAAGUCUUUUUACCACUCAUUCAAAAACCAUAGCUCUUAAAGACUAUUUUUGUUUUGCUUUUUUAACAGAUAAGUCAAAGGAAGAAUCCAUGAAAAGAGUAUAGACAUAUACCAAGGCAUUAUUUUCGGAUUGCUGAUUCGUUGCCUGGGAUGAAGAUUGUGUAGAGGACAAGGGCUCCCGCUUGCCAAGGCAAUAGAAGUUCAAGUAAUCUGACAGAUGGUACUUGUGUGACAACCCGACUUUUUUGAGAGUCUGGGCUAUAAUUUUGUACAUCAUCGUCAUGGUUUGUCCCCGUCCACGUCAUGGUUUGUCCCCAUCCACAUUAUCAAUACAUAAAUAUGAGAGUAGUGAAUGUUUAUCUCUUGGAGAAAAAUACUAAAUGACCUAAACAAGGUCGGGUCUCAUUUUUUCCCCUUUGAGUAGCUAGGUUUCUUCUGCUUGGAUCACUUCCUUUUCUGCUUAACUCUGUUCAAUGUGUUAUUCAGUUUCAAUUUGCUAGGACGUUACUUAUUGAUAUACCGUUAUCGAAAUGCAAGUGUCAUCGCUAUUUGUUUGCAAGAUGAAAGAGUUUAUCCUUGAUCUGACCUGCCAGAAGAGAAUUUCUUGCACUGCAGCACUAGUAAGGACACCCUCGGGCCACAUUGGUAUCACUAUAUACACGUAGAAGCGCUCAUUUUCACUGAUCUUUCUUGCGAUCUUCAACGCCAGCUCCAUCGGCACUAGAUUGUUUGCACCUGCUUGUCAAAACCAAAUCAAGCGUUGUUUCCCAUGAAAACUUGAACUCAAGAAAUUAGGACUGAAACAAAACUAGAAAAUGGGGGAAAAAUCUAAAUUUAAAAAGGUUUGACCUCAGAAAUAUAACAUAUUGAAUCAGAAGUCAAUUUUAAUGUCUUAUAUAGUGAGAUCUAGCUCUUAUUAGCUGAUACACAAUCCCCAGAGGAAGCAAAGUUCGAUACUCUUUACUAGAGGUGCUAUUGCUCACUAAACUCAAGUCAGUUAGAAUGAAUAGAAAUGUGCAUCAUAUACCUGCAUUUUUGUAUGAUGGCCAAUGGUAGGAAGAGCCAAGAAAAUAUUGGUUUUCAAUAUAGAUGAAGUGUUGCGCCGAUCUAAUCGCUUUCACAUAUGCCGUGUGAAUCCUCUUGUCUACUUUCAAGUUCUUUCCGCAUAUAAGAUUCUGCAACCAUGAAGAGAUUGAAAGAAGCAACAUUAUCAUUGUGGGCUUCAAUCUAUAUUAAAAAACACUAAGAGUUGUGCACAAGAAAGAAAAGUGACUUUCUAAUGUGAGGAAAAAUUUUCAAGUUACGCUUAUAUAACGGCCACUUGCCUAUCUACUAGCAUGGAAUUAGCAGCUAAAACUUACUUGCUUUGCAGCUUCUUCAACGCUCUUUGGGAAUCCCUUUACAGAUCCUGAAUCAAUUGAUCUGAAGAUCUAUACCAACGUAAAAUAGAAAUGAAAGACCAUCAUUACACUUCGUUUUGUUUACGAAUGAAGUCCUUAAAAAUGGUCAUUAAUUUUACAUAAAGUUUCCCGACCUGCACGUGCCAAUUUUCCAGGUCAUCUUCGUCCUUAACUUGUACUUUUUGUUGCCAUCGGGGCUUGUCGAGGGACAAAGUAUCCAUGAAAUCCUGUCAAGCCUUAAGAGAGCAUUCUCAUGCCAACGCCUGACGUUUUUUAGCUUGAACACGCGCCACUUCACCGCCUUUUUCCAUCUCUGUUCGAAAUUCUUCAAUAUGUCAUACACAGCUUGUCCCUCAACUUUGCAAUGUAGAUCAUGCCACGGUUGCCUUGGGACAUUGACAGUGGACUACAGUCGUUACCCAAAAAAAAAAAAGCAAUGAUUAAAUGAUCAGAAAAUAACGUUUACUUGUGUUUACAAUGCUGAAGAGAAACAUUAGCUUAAUUACCGUGAAUGUUGGGUUGUGAAUGUCAUUGUUAAACACGGUGUCACGAUCGCUAUAGAGUCUAUGCUUGGGAGUGUUGUGUCGGCCAUCACAUAGGUCCAACCCACCAAUGAAAGCUGUUAUUUUGCGGUUGUUUCCCGAGGCUUGAGUGUCGAGAACCACGCACUUUUGGUGGUGCGUGUACAGGGUCCCCACCACCUGGACUACAAAAGAUCCACACACCAACAAAUUAAACCAAACAUUUUCAUAGAUUUAUGCUGGAUUUCAAUUGAAUGUGCAGUCUCUACAACACUAUCAAAUUCCCUAUUAGAGCUGUCCCAGAUGCAUGUCAUUAGGUCAGAAAACACAUGAUAUGAUAUAAGACAGCAUGAGACAAAUCAAUAAACUUCCACGGAUAGUCUGAUGAAAAGAGAACCUUUCCCAUGAAAUUAUACCCGAUUGGAAUAUCAUGAAAUUAUACCUGAUUGGAAUAAUUAGGUAAUAUAUAUCAAAAGUAAUGCUUUUGAUGCAAUCAGACAAUGAGAUUCUGAUUAAGAAUCGACCUAAACAUCUAAGGAUACAUACAUGUUGCUUGAAAAUGCUGAGUUUGGUGCUUGCAUAACGAGGAGCAAGCACACAGUGGACACCAGAGUGUUGAAAAAACUUCUUUGUCUCUUCAUCAUGAGUUUGCAUCACGCCAUCCUACACAACAACAUGGCACAUGCCGAGUCUCAAUGGUGAGAGAUCUCGAUAAAGAAAUUUUCCUAAGUCGGACAGAUUUUUAGUCACAAAGAGCAUGGAUUUGAGAUUUGGCCAAAUGGUGGGUUGCACCAUAAAUAAGGAUGCUUAUUCAAGAAAGAGCCCUUAUAUAACAUAUUCUCCAUUUGGAUUUUGCAAAGGCUAACUGAAAGGAAGAACUAUUAGAGGUCAAGAUUUUGAUUAGUCCAUCCUUUGUGUCGAAAAACAAAAAACUUCUUGUUUUGUAAACAUUCAUUAAGCCGACAGUAAAAGUGAGAAAAUCCUUUACUGACUAUGCACCAUUGAUAAAAAGGGUGAUCCUUAGAUGCGAUGCCAGUAGAAUGAAAAAUAUGUUCGCAUGGGCUCUCACCACCAUUGAUGCAUUGAUUGUAACUUCAAACCACUCUAUUGCACUGGCCCAACACAUCAGUAGUGAUGGAAGCCGCGGGCGGACAAAUUUUUCUCGACCUGACAGUAUUUCAGUCAUCCCAAAAACCAUAAAGACAUUUUCAUGUUUCAGCAAUGCAUAGUUACAUGUAAGCAUGGUUUAGUAUUACCGUCUUCAAGAGGAACUUGUCGUGUGAAGUUUUGUCAUCCCAAACGAGCACGACCACUCGGACGCCUUCCUCGGACUUGUGCUUCAGGAGCUCCCCUAAAGAGAGCUUUCCUUCAUUCGGCAAUUCCCUUGUUGUUAGGGAAAUCCCUUAUGAUGUUUUGAAGAUGACAAAAUAAAUCAAAGGCUACUAACAUGUUUGAUGGUUGAGUAAUAGACCAUGCAGAUAAUAGAACAUGUAAAGGAUAUUAUCAAAGUCUGAAGACUGCUAGACUCAAGACUCAAAGUCUGAAGACUGCCAGACUCGAGACUCAAAGUCUGAAGGCUACCAGACUUUAGUAUCAAAGUCUGUUCUACCUCAGAAGUCUGUUAACUCUGACUAAUUCCAGAUUGAACGUGAAUGAUGAACCAGAAGACAGACUCUAUGCUGAAGCUGAACUGGGUACAGACCCAGAUUGUAAAGUCUAGAGACUCAGAUUGUAAAGUCUAGAGACUCAGAUUGUAAAGUCUCAAGACUCAUAUCGUAAAGUCUAAAGACUCAGACUUUACAUCCAGAUUCGAUGAAUCGUAACUCAAGCCCAAUCAUACAACGGCUAGUGAUCUGGUUUGAAUUCCACAUCAAGAUUGAUUUGAUUGAUUCAAUCUACUUGAUUGACGAUUGGAUGUUGAAGACAAGAAAUUUCUAUACGAAGAAGCUUUACUUAUGGAAACCAAGAUUUCGUUUGUAUGGGCGAUCGGAAUCAAUUUGGGAUUCUACCUUUGUCACUCAACGGCUACCAAAUCUUCUAGAUACAGAGCUGUCCAAUGGGUAUAUUGGAAGACGAUUCUCCGGGAUACUGUCCAACGGGUAGUUUGGAAGUGGAGGAGUAUUUAAGGAGAUCAUGGACCGAUGAGCAAGUAAGAGACGGAGCGUAGAAUUUAUAAUUCCAAAGUCUAAGCGACUUUAGAUCAUAUACUUGUCUCUUGAGAGCUUAAACGUUUGUAAUCAUGAGAGAAAUACCAAGAGAGUGACUUAGUGAGAUAGUGUGAUCUACUAAGUGUUUGCACUCGGAGUUGUAAUCUCUUGUUGAUUGCAUAGUGGAAUCCAGCCAAGAAGGCUGUUAUCGUGGGAGAGUGGACGUAGGCUUGGAUUAAGCCGAACCACUAUAAAUCUUGUGUUCUUAUUCUCUUCCCUAACUCCUUUAUUUUGUUCAUACUAGCACUCUCAAUUGGUAUCAGAGCCAAGUGCUCGGUUUAUAAAAGUGUUUUUACUUUUGAGCUAAAGAUUCUUUAUGGCUAGUAUGUUGGCACCAGGACUUAUGGAAGGGCAAAGCAACACAAGGCCACCAUAUUUCGAUGGAAGAAAAUACAAGCAGAAUGGCCAGAAAAGAAUCAUGAAAGAAGAUGAUGAGCAAAGAAAUCUAUGCUUAAUGGCACAUUCAGAAUCUGAGUCUGACUCAGACACAGACUCAGAAACAGAGUCUCAUUCAGAACCAGACUCAGAAUCCGAUGAGGAAAUCAAGGGGAGAAAUCAAAUCCAAAAGAAAAGGAAAAGAAUCGUGAUCAUCUCAAAAAGGCAACAAAUUGAGGGGGAGCUUUGAUCAAUUAUGGAAAAAUCUUUUUUGAUUGAUCGUGAUCUUAUUAUGGAUGGAAGGAAAGGUAAUUGUGUCAGAAUUUAUUCUACAAAAUCCGGUUAGUGCAUCUCUUAUUACCUUUUGUCAUUAACAAAUCUCAUAUUGAUAUUAUCAUGACAAAAAUGGUACGUGAAUUUUAUGAUGCAUCAGUGAUUUUUAUUGGAUAUUUGCUGAUAUAAUCGAAGUGAGCUAUAUUGCAUAUCUUUAAUAUUCGAUAAAAGCUGAUUUUUGAAAAUUGUGAUUCAUGCAAGAUAUUUGUUAUCAUUCUCUACGUGAAUCCAUUAUCACUUUUUAAUUAUGACAAAAAGGGGGAGAAGUUAUGAAUAUGCAUAUGUGCUGAUUGGUUAAUAUUAUAUUAUCUAUGGCAUAAUAUUGAGCUGCGAUUAUUUUCUAUAUAUUCUUAUGCUCAAUCUAUUUGUUAUCUUGUGAUAUCCUUUGAUUUAAAAGUAUGUUUACAAAUCUGCAUAUUCAGAGAUUGUUUUGUCAUCAUCAAAAAGGGGGAGAUUGUUAGGGAAAUCCCUUAUGAUGUUUUGAAGAUGACAAAAUAAAUCAAAGGCUACUAACAUGUUUGAUGGUUGAGUAAUAGACCAUGCAGAUAAUAGAACAUGUAAAGGAUAUUAUCAAAGUCUGAAGACUGCUAGACUCAAGACUCAAAGUCUGAAGACUGCCAGACUCGAGACUCAAAGUCUGAAGGCUACCAGACUUUAGUAUCAAAGUCUGUUCUACCUCAGAAGUCUGUUAACUCUGACUAAUUCCAGAUUGAACGUGAAUGAUGAACCAGAAGACAGACUCUAUGCUGAAGCUGAACUGGGUACAGACCCAGAUUGUAAAGUCUAGAGACUCAGAUUGUAAAGUCUAGAGACUCAGAUUGUAAAGUCUAGAGACUCAGAUUGUAAAGUCUAGAGACUCAGAUUGUAAAGUCUCAAGACUCAUAUCGUAAAGUCUAAAGACUCAGACUUUACAUCCAGAUUCGAUGAAUCGUAACUCAAGCCCAAUCAUACAACGGCUAGUGAUCUGGUUUGGAUUCCACAUCAAGAUUGAUUUGAUUGAUUCAAUCUAAUUGAUUGACGAUUGGAUGUUGAAGACAAGAACUUUCUAUACGAAGAAGCUUUACUUAUGGAAACCAAGAUUUCGUUUGUAUGGGCGAUCGGAAUCAAUUUGGGAUUCUACCUUUGUCACUCAACGGCUACCAAAUCUUCUAGAUACAGAGCUGUCCAAUGGGUAUAUUGGAAGACGAUUCUCCGGGAUACUGUCCAACGGGUAGUUUGGAAGUGGAGGAGUAUUUAAGGAGAUCAUGGACCGAUGAGCAAGUAAGAGACGGAGCGUAGAAUUUAUAAUUCCAAAGUCUAAGCGACUUUAGAUCAUAUACUUGUCUCUUGAGAGCUUAAACGUUUGUAAUCAUGAGAGAAAUACCAAGAGAGUGACUUAGUGAGAUAGUGUGAUCUACUAAGUGUUUGCACUCGGAGUUGUAAUCUCUUGUUGAUUGCAUAGUGGAAUCCAGCCAAGAAGGCUGUUAUCGUGGGAGAGUGGACGUAGGCUUGGAUUAAGCCGAACCACUAUAAAUCUUGUGUUCUUAUUCUCUUCCCUAACUCCUUUAUUUUGUUCAUACUAGCACUCUCACUUGUGAGCUCUCUCACAAGCCUCACAUGAUGAUAAAUGGACCAACCAAUGAUGUAGAUCAAGUGGUAGGUCUCCAAAAUGGCAUGGCAUAUAUCCUUUCAGCACCUACCUUGCUCAUAAAUCUUCCCAUCAUCAAGCAAAAUCUAAGGCAGCUUGCGCUUUGGGACAUGAGCAUCUUGCUAAAAUGUCACAUCCCCACCUUUCCUUAAGUGGAAAAUAUGUGUUUGGUACACUCACAUAGUUUGGCCCAACCCCAACACCAUUCUUGCAUAAUAGAUUAUCACUAAUCAGCAUGAAUUGGAUCGAGAUGUGAAGUUUUGGAUAGGACUUGAGGGGGCUUCUGAAGUUGUCAAUUAUUGGGAACUAGCCAUUGAUCGUGUUGCCAAACACAAUCUUGUCCAUUGGUAUAUCCACGACCCUGAUGAGCUCGGCCCCAAAUGCAUCUUUGUUCUUCACAUAAGACUCCACCUUCAUUAUUGGCUGCGCUAAGGAGGAAUAGAAUUGCUUGUCCCAUGGAGGUUUUCACAAUUCAAAAUUAUUAACACCUAAAUUUUGUCAACAAUGCACGGACAAAAUUAUGAACAACAAUAAUGGUAAAAAAUUGUCACACGACUUUACCUAAAAAAAAAAAAAAUUGUCACACGCCAUUGCUGGACUUCGAUUGCGGGUUCCAGUGUCGUCUGGCUGCAGCUCUGAUCGCGUGCUGUUCGACCGCGAGGCGCUCCUUCGGUUUGUUCUUUCACUUCAGUGAUCGGCGGAAGGUUGCCGUAAGUUCAAACCGCAUGGAAAAGGACGCCCCGGCUCAGUCGACUCCCAACCAUCACUUUCGAAUCUUCUCUCCACUGAUUGAGCUCUUCCAUUUCUUACUCUAAAUCAAGCCCUAGUGUCGUCCUCGCGUCAAGCUCUGGGAAUCAGAAUCAAAGUUGCUCUCGCGUCGAAUGAAUGUUUGGAUACUGCUCAGGAGGCGUUCGAUGAAAUGAUAUUUGGUCCUAAAGUGGUGGUGUGAUUAAUUGUCUUCACAUUGCAAGUGGGAUCAUAAAAUUCCAUGAAUUGGACCUUUGAUUGUAUGCGACGACACGAUAUUCUUCCGCAGCUAUGUUCGAGAAAGCUGCGAAUUUAAUUAAUGCGAGACAAAGGGCGUAGCGUUCCGUCGAUGAAGCUCAAAACAACACGAAGCCGAUCAAAGCGGGCGUCCAGAAAUGGGUAGACAGGCGCGGAGAUCCUUGCCGAUGAGGCGCGCGGCGUGCUGGAAAACGACAGAAGAGCCAAGAAAACUUGCUUCCGCAGGUAGUUUCCCAACCUGAAGGGGCACUAUCGUCUUGGCAGGGUGGCGAGGAGGACAGCCGAGGCCAUCCGGGCACUUGAAUCGCAGAGUGAAUUCCGAAAGGUCUACUACGAGAAUCCUCAGCCAUAAAUCAAUAUAUAAGGACUUAAAAGAUAGUUUUGAUCAUUUUAAUGUAAUUAGGGAUUUUUAAUUGACCAUAUUAAAAUAAUAAUCUGUUUCUUUUAAAGAUAGUCUUCUAGCUCACCACCACCCAUGAGUUGAUAUUUUUAAGCUUUGACUAUCAAGCGUGUUUGAUUUGUUAGACCUCAAUGAUUUUCUCGGGCAAAUCUGUUGCUAAUUUCUUUUCUUUUUUCAUGUACUUAGUUAAUAGAAUGUAACUUCAAAUAAAUGAACCAAGUAAUUUCUACUCGACAUCCAUAAAUUUCAUUGUUCGCUUUAAGUUUUCUCUAAGUACGUUGUCCAUUUCAAUACAAGUUUGGAUUUCUUAUUCAAUUUUUCUCUAGUAUUUUCAAUUUGCUUGCGAUUUCAGUUUCCUGCAUUUCAAUUCGAGUUGUUAAUUGUUUUGGAAAAGAUUUCAUGUAUAUUUAACAAAAAAGAGAAAUCGAGUGCAGAAAAUCUCAAUGAUUGAGCCUGACUUUCUCUCAAUAAAGAUCAAACUAAAACUGUUGACUUCAAAUUUUCAAGUCCGAAUCCAAGGGAAGAAGGAACUCUGGAGCCAAUUCUGCUUGUAUAGUUCACCACCUCAUAGGGAUCGAGUCGAAUAAAACCUUCCACUAAGAACGAGAAGACACAAUCAGGACGAUAAUCAUCAAUAUAUGCAGUUAACGAUAAUCAUCUAGAAGCGGUUUUGCCUGGAUAGCAAAACGACCCAACAAGAAGGAAGCAACGGCAAGACAUCAUCACUCGGAGCUUGAAUUCUAGGAAACGGCCGGCGAUGGUAAUGAUCUGCAUCUGGCGUGCCUGAAAGUCUUUCUAGUGGGGACAUCGCUAGCCGAAGACAACGAACGUGAAUUUGGAAUCUCUGUCUACUCCGAGCUCAGCGUCGAGGCAGAGUGAGCGCUCCUUUCUUUGGCGGAGGAGGAGGGGAGAGAAAAGGCCAGGCUAGGGGAAAAAGUUGAAAUGUUGUGGUGAUGGGCUGAUGGGCUGAUGGGUCUGGGCAGGGGAAAAAAGCCCACGGGUUGCUAUUGUGGGCCGCACCAGUUAAACCAAAUUGUCCUUUUCUAUUUGUUAUUUAUUUAUAUUUUCAUUAUUAUUUUUCUUUUGUUCUUUUUACUACCAUUCAUCGUUUUGAUGUUCUUUUUUUUUUCAAUUACAAUAAUGCAUGCUUAAUUUAUCAACUAAAUUUCAGGUGUCAACAGUUACGAAUAUAUUUACUUUAAUAUAUGAAAAAAAAUCACGCUAUCCAAACAAACUAUAAGACGUUGUAUUUACUAUUGUGUCAAAUCUUUGAUUACUAAAGGUCAUAUUUGUUUCUUGAUCGGUGGGAGAAGUGGGCUAAAAAAUAUGGCAGUGGGCUAAAAAAUAUGGCACAAUCCAGUUGAGUAGAACAUGUAUGUGUUGAUGAAAUUACAACUCAUUUAAAAUAACUUGAUUUAUGACCCAUAUUCAUAUUAAGCCCAAAUCCUAUCUCGCCCAUUUGUCAGGUCAAAGUCCCAAAAAUCGCUGUGAAGGAUUAAACAAAAGCAAUACAAGUAAAGAGAGAGAUUGAUAGAAAAAGAGAGAUGGCAAAGAUUCUUUAGUGAAAGAUGAUUCCUUCAUCUUUUUGCUUUCCCUCUUUAGAGGAUUCUUUUUUACUUUACUUAAAACGUUCCAGAUUAAAGAAAUGAUGAAAGGGUUGAGAAUUCGAAUACUGUUUAAAAAAUAUAUGACCACUAGCUUACUUAUGAGGUUACCCUUAAGUAAGUCGUCAUUAUUAUUAGGAUUUUGUCAAUGUCUAAACAAAUUGGUAACUUAUCACCUCUUCUGAAAUUUCACAAGUUAGUAAAUUAUCAUCUCUUCUGAAAUUUCACAAGCGUCUUUUUUAUAUAUCAGUAAUAUAAUAAAGUUAUAUAUAUUUCACUAAUACGGUGAUUGACUAAUUUCUUUGAAAUUUUACAACUUUUUUUGGUAAAAUACCAACUCAAUAAGGAAUCUACCAAUCUCUCAAUAAAUCAGUGAAUUAUCAAGUUUUUUCAAGUUGCUAAUUAUUAAACUAACAAGAUGAGAUCAAAAAGAGGAACAAAUAAAGAUGAGAUAACAUAGGAUAUAGACACGAAAAAGAGUCCAGGAAAAAGCAAAUAUGUGGUGGACCCACACAGUGGUGUCAGGGAAGAAGGAACAGUUUUACGAGGAAUUAUUUUUCUGGGCCCCACAGGAGCAGUUUUCUCUACCACUCUUUCCACUUCCCUCACACUUAUUGUAGCUGGGGUUGUAUAUAAUCCGGGUGAAAAUUAGAAUUGGAAAUCGCAAGUUAGUUGCAUGGAUCCAUCCGGAAUGGGAUCGUUGGUCCAAUCUGAUUCUCAAGUGGGUCCAUAGAACCGAUCUCACUAAAAGCUAUUUAAUUGUUAUACAAAGUGUUUACCAGAAACAUGAAAUUGUUUUAUAUAAUAACCAACUAAAGGCCUAAAAACAAUCGCUUGAGCUCCACAAAAUUGUCUCAAUCUUUGAAUAGUGAUUACUCUGCUGAUAAUUGCUACAUGCCAUUACCGGUUCAUGUUCUUUUUUCCUCUCUUUUUUUUUUUCUUUGAACCUGCUUAUGCCGAUCCACAUCAACACAUUUCGCAUUUGCUAAUUUUUCUCAGUCCUCUCUCUUAAGCAUGGCUUGUCUCUGCAUGGUUUUUACCAUCUCCUUCAUUGUCCUCUCCUCAGCCUCAAGCUGCAUUUUCAUGAUUGCCUCAACCUACUUGUCAAUUGGCAUGAAGUACUCUUCAAUGGUAGAUUCCUGCAUAGGUCAAGUGAGAGUUCAAACUAAAAGACGAGAUGGAGAUUGGAGCCAUAAAUUUCUAGAUUUGCUAAUUUUGAAUUUUUUUAAUAUUAAAAAGUAAUAUAUUAUUAUAAUAUAAUUGGUCCGUCCUGGGUGAACGGGUAUGCGGAUCUGCCCAUGGAACCGGAAACUGGACCAAAUCUGGACGGUUCCGAUCCAAUUCCAAGUGGUCCAAGCGGGUUUUGGUUCCUUUACACACCCCUAAUUCUAGCCAUAAGGCAAGCAUUAUUUCCUUGUUUCUUUAUUUCCUCUCCUUUUAAUCCGAGUCCUAAAACCCGCUUUACUCUAUGAAAUGACUCGAUUCAAUUCCAUGGGUCAUGCCAUUAGAAAAAGGGGGACAAUCACCUGUUGAAUAGAACCGGAUAUGUGUCGAUACAAUAUCAGCCCUUUAAAAAUGAUUUGAUUUAUGACCUGGAUUCAUAUCAAACCCAGAUUUAAUCUUACCCAUUUGGUGAGUCGAAGUUCCAAAUAUCACAAUGGAAGAUUAGACAUAGAGUAGUACAAGAUGGGGGAGAGAGAGAUGGAAGGUGAAGGAUGAUUCUUUAGUAUUUUUCUUUUCUAAUUUGGGGAUUCUUUUUCACUUUUUCAAAGUUUUCCAAAGUGAAGAAAUGAUGAGAUGCUUGAGGAUUACAAUCCUAUAUCUAAAAGGAUUGAGAAAAUUGCCCAAAAAGUCCUAAACUUAUUGUACUUUUGCGAAGUUGAUUCUAAGCCUUUUUAAUUUUAUCAAUAAAGUUCUAAACUUUUGACAAUUUGCCAAUUGAGUCUAUCCGAGUGGUCGGAAAUUGCUAACAUAAACAUCAAGCAUCCUACUUGACACGUUGUCAUUGAAGUGCACAUUUUUAAUAACAUUUUUGAACUUUUCUGGUUUUUUUCUUCUUUUAUGGUUUUCUUUUUCAUUUCUUUACUUUCUUUUUCGCCUAUCCCAGAUCUGACAAAGGUGUCACGACCCUCACUAGAUCUGGGCAAGGGCUCAUGCGCUCUUGCUUAGCGUUGCAACCCUAGCCCAACCCUCAACAACCAUGACAAGGGCCACUAUGGCCAUUGAGGAUUGCAAUGCCCUCACCCCAAAAUAGCAAGGAUCGCCAUCCGUCACUCUAAAAACCAAGAAAAGAGUAAAAGUACAAAAAAGUACAAAAAAAAAUUAGAAAAAAAAAAACUAUUUGUCAUCGUCAACAGCAAUGUGCAUCGACUUGACUAUAGAUGCUAUGCUAAAGAAUGAAUAAAUAGAGAUGAGCUGUAGAUGGUAUGCGUAAAGAAACAAGGUGGAUGCACGCAGCGACGUCUUCAUCCUCUGCAGUGGUGCUAAAGAUAUUUUCUAUGGGAGCAAGAGGUUCUUUGGAUUUCUUUCGUUGAUCAAUAUCUUGUAAUUUUGUAUCUUAUAUUACCUCCUUUUCAGUAUAGAACUUGAAUAUCACAGCUACAUAUGGAACAUAAACCUUUUAAACUAGAAUUUUUUUUAUUAGGUUCACGGUGAGUAGAAAAACAUCUUCUAAUGCAGCAAUAGAAUAAUUAUAUGUGCAUGAUGACUAUUUGAUUAUAUUGGGUGAUGUAAAUGCAUGGAUUAUAUAUUAGUAUGUUUUCUCAUCGAUUAAAACUGUUUUUGUUUGGGCAAUUGACCGAAUAAGUGGUUGCGUUUUUUUAAAAUUUACUGCUGGUAUUCGUAAAACUUGUACAAAUUUGGGACUAAAUAUGUCAUUAGAUAUGGUUGUGCACACAUUAAUGUGAUGCUUUCAAGCUUUUUUCAGCAAUUCCUUUUGAAUUUCUCUUUUACUAGGUGUACAGGUAGAUACAUGUACUUUUUUUUUUUUUUAAUAAAUGUACUAGGAUGAAAGAUAAUCUUUACUCUUAUUUUCCGAUGACUGAGUUUUGACUUCUUUCAGUGCAAUUGAUUAUACAUUUCGAGAUGUAGGGACUAAAUAAUUUCAUAUACUUUUCAUAUGUCAUUAUCAUAAAUUUGCAUCUAAGUAAAAGAAAGAACGAUAUUCACAUAUCAACCAUUCAAUUUAAUUAAAGAAAAUGCACAAAUUAUACAAAGUCCUUAGUAAUUGCCAUCUACAGCGUGAGGUUUACAUAAGACCAAGCUCCACCAUGUGCGACCAUUAACAUCACUCUGUUCUUUUCUUCUGUUUGGUCUAGAGCCGCGUUUGUCUCCCUCCUCCUCCUCUGCGUUUGAGAGAGAGCGAAGAAGGGGAGAGAGAGAGGGAGAGAGAGCAGCAGCAGCAGCAAAAGAACAACGAUGGUGAACCAUAUAAUUAAAUUGGGUUCUUUUUUGGAAAGAGGGGUGGUCCGGCUCAACCAUUGAAUAACGUGACAUCCAUAAAAUCCAUGGAGUUAAUGAACCUGUUAACAUACAUAUAAUUCCCUACAGAUACACUUUAUUUUCACUGGUCCCGUUAAUGAAAUGUAGUUAAUUAAUUAGAUUGGGUUCUUUUUGGAAAAGUGAUGUUCUCAGAAAUAAUAUAUGAUUUUGCUUAGUACUUAAAAAAAAAUGUUAACAUACAUAUAAUUCCCUACAGAUACACUUUAUUUUCACUGGUCCCGUUAAUGAAAUGUAGUUAAUCAAUUAGAUUGGGUUCUUUUUGUAGUUAAAAGCAUCUCCCAUGAACCUUCAGUUUCUUCCAAUGGAAUUACUUACGUUGUUCAAAACGCAUACAUUAUCACAAGAUUAAUAAACAUAGGCAUCUCGUAGAUCUCAUUGGAGAGUACCUCGGGCUUUUUGAACAUCCAACUAAUGUCCAUCAAGUGCAGCUGUCCCUCUGUCUCACACACGUUGGGUAAUUCUCGGAAACACAUAAGUCCCUGCUCCUGUGGGCGACUCCAAGAGACUACACAAAUACAGUGAUUUAGUCAUGUGCCCUGAGCGAGGAGGAUAGACACACUCAUUACUUGAGCAAUUACUUGGGAUUAAAAGAUAGGUGUCGCUAAGUUUUCUUAAAAGAUAACCGAUCUAAUUUAAAGUGAAAACUCUUAAUUUUUCCUUAGAGAACAAUUCUUAAUUUCCCAAAUGAAUUGUCUCCUUGUGAUCAUGGUUUUAUAUCACGUUUUUUAGAAAAUCCUAUAGUUGCCACAAUUGAUUUUUUCAUCAAAAUAAUAUUCGAAGUUGAUUUUGGCAACUUAGGGUGUGUUUGUUUAUAUUUCUUUUUUGUGUUUUUAAACACUUUUUCUGUUUUUUUGUUCUUUUGUUCCCAGGAACAAAAAAGAAACAGAAACAAGAAACACAAAUUUUGUGUUUCUUGUUUCUGAAACACUUUUGAGAAACACUUAUUAUUUUUUUAUUUUUUCUCUUAUUUUCUUGUUCUUUUUUCUUUUGGCCGGUCGCCGGCCUCGGCCAUGGCCGUAUUCCGGCCCACGCGAACCGGCCGCCUCGCCCAGCCACGGAGAGGGCUCGCCGUCCCCCGGCUAUUUGUAACCUUAAUUAAUUUGUAAUAGAGGCAGAUGGAAGAUAGCCUGACUUACGAUGCAUAUAAAAAGUGACUUUAGUGAGGUAGGAUAUACCAUUAUGCUGAUAAAAUAUCUGGAUGGAGGUUUCUGUAUUCCUGAGAGUAUCCUCCUGGGCCCUGGAAUAUAGAUGAGGCCUCACUCAACUUAAAAUAACGUCAUAAAUUAUCUCUCACAAUGANNNNNNNNNNNNNNNNNNNNNNNNNNNNNNNNNNNNNNNNNNNNNNNNNNNNNNNNNNNNNNNNNNNNNNNNNNNNNNNNNNNNNNNNNNNNNNNNNNNNGCCUUGGCCGGCGACCGGCCCAAAAAGAAGAAAAAAAAUGAAAAAGAAAAAAAGGAAAAAUAAGAAAAAAAUAGAAAAAAUAAAAAAAUUAUCCAAAUUUACCAAACAUGUUUCUGUUUAUUUUUUAUUCCCGGCCCGAAGUUAAUUUCAGUGCAAAAGAAAUGACGGAGUGGGUCCUUUUGUUUUCAAUCAAGCGUAAUUAGACAGGCAUUUGCUUUGUUGGAGAUUCCGUAGAUGUUGUGUAAAGAUGAUCAAAUGAAGCCGUACAACACACAUGUAAGCGCCGGAACCUUGCAUGCAUCGACAAAAGUACGAAAUGGAGCCAAGGUUUGCAGGGUCCACGCGAAAAAAAAUACAUGUUAGUUAAGAGUUACCAAGGCUUUGAUGAAAAAAUAACAUCAUAUUGAUAAAAAAUCAUGGGAUCCUCAGUACAAGUACCGGGAUUUUUCAAAUACGAGAGGGAAGUUGAAAGUUUUCUAUAUGAUGAUAGCCGGCUAGCCUUCAUUUUAGUUUGCGAAAAUGGUGGUCUCUUUAGUCCACAACCUCCAUCUAAAAGUUUAAAAUUUCAGAACUAUUGUAGUGUUUCCACAAAAUCUUCCAGACGUCCCAAGUCCGAUAUCAUGUGAGAUUUUGGUAAGAUUACCGCCAAGCGCUCUAAAAAUUUAAGCUGUUAUGUGAAUGUGUGGUUUAUUAUUUAAAUAUUUUAACAUACAAUAUAAUUAAGACAACAAAAUACAAAACAUUUCAUGACAUUGUGGAUGGUGGCAAAAUUCUUGACAACGUAUACCUCUUCAGAUAUAGUAAAUCCUCCACCCCUCAGCAUCGUCAACCCUUCCCUCCACAUCUUCCUCUCCACUCAUAUCUCUCAAAGAUCCCCUCUACAUCGAUCCGGUGGGCCAACACAAUUUGAGACGGUGAGAUUAUUAGUCCUCCCUUAAUUCUGGCUUUUGAGCGAUAACAUUAAGACAUUUUUGACAUUUAAGACAUUUUUAGUUCGUGAAAAAGGUUUUUCAGAGAACUCCGGGUACAAUAAUAAGUCCAUGACCAAACGACUUAUUACUAGUUUCUAUCCAGCCUUCUAUGGCUACUUGAAGAACUGAUCUUAUGUCGUACCAUGUCGAGCCUAAAUGCCGUGCUGUAAUUUUUGCACAAGGUGUCAUACCAUAUAAGCGCUUAGAAAUUUUCAGUAAUAAUCAUUUCUAUGGUAUGACAAUUGUGUAGUAGCUACACAAAAUUGUUUUCUAUAACGGAAAAAAAAAACUUCUAAAGAAAAUUUUUAAACAAUGAAGAAAAUCAGAUUCUCCUAAGGAUGGGUAGAGCUUCAUGUACCCGAUCCCAAUACUCGAAGAAUCGUGGAAAAUUGCACUACACUGCUUGUACAGAAGAUAUCAUUGCACUUUGACUUUCCACAAUUCAAGUCAAGUUCAAAGACAACAUUUUCUUGAAAGUCGUAUUAAAAUGUUAUUUUUUUAAUGCUCCAUUGGACUUGUUUUGGGAAUUCUUCUCCCCGGACGCGGGGAACUCAUCAAAUUGAUCGUUCAAGAGCUCCAAAUUAAGCUGAAGGGUCAAACAUAGGUUCAUUACCGAAUAUGGAGGCUGUAUUGAAUGAUCAAGAAGAAGGCAUAGUGAAAAAUAUCAGAUGCCGAAUCUGCAGGAGCACGUUUUGUUGUGAUAUACAGGUUUGGUGGCGGUGGGAAGAUGACUUUGCCGGUGUAAUCAUUAGCCAGUUAUUAGCUAGCUUCAACUCUUCAACUUGGAGAGUGUAGUUGGCCACCGAAGAGUGCAUAUUUUGAUUCAAACACUUUCCAAUUCUUAUGCAAGUUAUGAUAGAAGCUAGCCAAAAUAAGGACACAACAAAUAAUGUAACUUUCAAAUGACGGUUAUUUGAGUGUUAUGAUUUUUUUUUUCAAUUAAUUGAGUGACGUGGCUUAUAACAAAUUGUUCACUUGAGUUCAUUGACUUCUAAACUUUCAAUGGAUCAUUUAAAUGUUAUGACCUUUCCAAAAAAAAAAAAGUUCACUAUGAGAGUUAUGAUACGUUGAAUUUCUAGCACUUGUAGUGAACGUCUUUGAAAAAACUAUGGCACUCUAUUGAACAUUUAUUAGAAGUCAUGGCAUUCAAGUAACCGAAAAAAAAAAUAACUAUAGCACUUAAGUAAUUGAAAAAAAAAACUUGGGUUCUCAAGUUAAUGCCAUACGAAAAUCAUAAUAUUUGUAAUGUCAUUUCUCCAAUCUAAGAGCAUUGUGGACUUAUUAAAUGCAAGAUGUUUUUACAGGAAAAUAACACAUUUCGACAGAAAAACAUUUCGUCCAAAAUCAGUUGUCUCCACGUGGUAUCACAAGAGAAAGUAUUAUUGCACUUAGGGGACUCUAUUUUUGUGCAACUUUAUUAAAGCUGAUACGUAAAGAGUUCGUGAAGUGACGGGAAUCAGAGUGCAUUAUCUGAAUCGGAAUUUGGACUUGAUUUGCAAGUCUAAGGUUGCAAAAUGGAUUUUGCAGUUUAGGGUGCAUUUGUUUGCGUUUCUGUUUAAAAAUUGUUCCAGGGAACAGAAAUAAAAAAAAGUGUUUCUGUUCCUGGGAACAAUUUCUGAACAAAAAAACGCGUUUGGUAAACUUGUUCCGGGAACAAAAAAUAAAUAGAAACACGUUUGGUAAAUUUGUAUAAUUUUUUUAUUUCUUUUAUUUUUUCUAUUUUUUUCUAUUUUUUCCUUUUUUCUUUUUCCUUUUUUCUUUUUUUUUUUCUUUUGGCCGGUCGCGGAUCGCGGUAAGGUCUUGAACUCUGUUUAAGAAAAGUCCAUUUUGGGAAGCCCAAGUUGAGUCCAAUUUGCAGUUGAACCCCUCUCGAAGCCCAAUUCUGGACAAGAAGGGGCACUCAAAAUUAGUCGGACAGAGAACCUGGUGAGACCGGGCUGAAAAUGGGAAAGGAAGAACGAAGAAGCACUGUUAACCUAAGAGUUCUUAACUUCUAAGUUAUAGCUGAGAUGAUCUGCCUNNNNNNNNNNNNNNNNNNNNNNNNNNNNNNNNNNNNNNNNNNNNNNNNNNNNNNNNNNNNNNNNNNNNNNNNNNNNNNNNNNNNNNNNNNNNNNNNNNNNCGCCCCCUCCCCUUCCUUUCUUUUUUUCCUGUCUUCGUUCUAGUUGCUCCCUAUCCCCGCUUGAUGUUCUUCGCUCUUUUUUAUCCGCUCCUAUGUAGAUAUAUUUCCCCUACUUGCCCCCCCUCGUCGGCCGGUCAUCGGCCAUGGCCGAGGCCGGCGACCGGCGAAAGAAAAAAGAAAGAAAAUAAGAAGAAAAAGAAGAAAAAAUAAAAAAGUGUUUCUCAAUUGUGUUUCAGAAACAAGAAACACAAAUUUUGUGUUUCUUGUUUCUGUUUCUUUUUUGUUCCUGGGAACAAAAGAACAAAAAAGGAACAGAAACGCACCCAAACGCGUUUCUGUUCCUUUUUUGUUCCCAGGAACAAAAAAACACAAAAAGUGUUUAAAAACAGAAAAAAGAAACAUAAACAAACAGGCCCUUAUUCUCAGCUUUGGGAUAACUAAAUUAGUAUGCGAAUAACUUUAGCAAAAUGGAUUCAGACAUCGGACAAUAUUUGGUGGCAAAUGCGUUCACUUGUUUGUUGUUAAAAAUUGUAGUGGCUUGGAGAAACUCCAAACAAAAUCGUCCGGCAAAAAAAAAUUAUGUUCAUUGUUGAUGCCGGUCAAUGCCAGAUUAUGACUCUACUUUGAUGAGUUUUCACUUGACUUUCACAAAGGCUUUGUUAAAUUACUAUAUCGAAUUUGAGCCGUUUACGAAACUCGACUCGAUUUUGAUGAGUCUUUAAUUUUCAUACUGAAGAGCAAUCUCACUAAAAGACAAAACAGAGGCACAAAGUCCACUGUGAGAGAAAGAAACAAAAAGCCUUACCAUGACAUUCCUAAGCAAGGAGGGAAAAUAAGCUGUCGAACUCACGAGAAAUACUUAAUUCAGACCCUAAACAUGUUUUGGCUCGUCUCGGUGCCAAUUUUCAGUCUGCUUGAUUGGCUCUAACAGAUGAAGUUCGUCAGAUGUUUAAUUUUACUUUUCACUUUUAACGUCAAUAUUUUAGCGUCAAUAUUUUAGGGUUAUUUAUUAAUAGUGAAUUCACAUCGUUCAUUCGAUCACGAUGCAUUACGGAGGCAAAGAGAAUUCAAAUUUUCAGUGAACGUUUCCAAUUGAAGAAAAUAUUUUAAUUUCAAUCCAUUUUGACGAAAACUGUUAAAAUCAAAGAGUGAGAAAAAAAAAUUAUGCAUGUGUCUAUCUGCCGACUACAUGGACAUACAUAGCUUCACAUAAAAAAAAAAUGAUGCAUGCGUCUAUCUGCCGACUAUCUGGACAUACAUAGCUUCGCAUUCAAAAUUUCACACUAACCUUCAGCGUUUCUUUGUCCACUUUUUGGGGACUCUAUUUUCAACAGUUCACACGAACUUUCAAAAGCUUUAGAUUUCUCCCUCAACAAAUAUAUAAUAAAGUACAAAUCUCAAGAAAAGAAGCCCAGCUUUUAUGUUGACGAAGACUAGCUGAUCAACUUGGCUUACUUCGAGGGGCGAUAAAGGAUAGCCACGUAAUAAAGGUAUUACUAUUUGGGCAUUGAGGGCGAGUUUAUACUGUUUUUCUUUCUGUGGAGUAGGGGAAAUGUACACUCAUCAAGCCCUCCAGCGCUUUUCGACAGGCUCGUGUUUACAAGAGACUCCCCUCCGAAUGAUCGUUACAGGCUCUCAGAACGUGCAGAACAUGUCAUUUCAACUUUAAAAAAGUUUCUUUUGACUCUUGAGGUCAUUGAUUCCUUCCUUUAUUGUGAAGAUAAAUCAGUGUGGUAGAUAAUGGGAAAAUAUUAAAAAGUCAUGGGUGAUUCCCCUAAGGAAGUCUAGGAAAUGUUGUUGCUAAGUUCCGAUAAGUUAGAAAAUGGGAAAAAGCAAGCAUUGCUCAACAAUAUCGUUUGUCUUUCGCUGGGUGGAUAAUGAUAUUGCAUCUAAUUAUAAAAAACAAAUCAUUUUCGUGCCUUGCAAAUACAAACAGUGUCUGGUAACAAAAUACCACGAUAAGAAAUCGAAAGACUUCAUUUGAUGCCUCACAUGAAGUGCUUUCUUCCAAAAGUUUUAGGAGUGAGGUAAAACAUGUUACAAAUUUCAAACAAAUAUAUUAGCUACUAUGGUAACUAAAUACCGUAAAAAGUAAUGUGUUUGUGGUGGAGUAGACUUGCGAUGUUAAUCUUUAGUUGUUCUCGUGUACAACAUAUAUAUGUAUUUGAAAUUCAAUUGACUCUUCAAUAACUCUACCAAUUUGGAUUUGCGACAAAUACUUCUCAAGUAUGGAAAUGAUUUGGGAAAUUGUGAUAUCAAGAAUAGGCUAAUCUUAGGAAAAUGGUUAUAUUGUUUCAUCAUAGUUCAGCUAUUCAGAAUAGAAUGAAAUCGUGGACUACCAGAAUCAAAACAGCUGCAUAUUUACCAAGGCUCUCAAUCACUAGAGGUCUAUGCUUUGUCCCGUAAAAUUUUACACAUUUUUUUCUUUUCUUUCUUUUUCUUUUUUUGGCACAAAUCAAUUUCAAUACUUGAAAAGAAUUUUUUGCAGUGUAGGGCUGCGUAUGAACUCACUCCCCUCUAAGGAUAAAGCAAUGGUGACAGCUGGACAGCCCGCCGCAUUGGAGGACGAGAUGGCAUCUUCGAGAAGUUAAAAAUUGUUGUCACUAUAAACGGGCCCAGAGGUGGGUUUAUGAGUGUGUAACAAAUAACAGGUAACGCUGCCUCUAUUAAAGCCAGGUGCUGCUCUUUCCGAUCGCUGCAACUCUAAAUGAUCAAUUCCUCCCUCUAGAUCUCCAUCUCCAUUUACGCCUAUUGCUAGAAGUUGUCUCUUCACCCAAUCUUUCGUGGCUGCGGAUUCAUCCUACUGAAUCUUUCCAGUCCGGUCAUUUCCGUUUCAUUACUGGGUUCCAUCAGUUCCGCCUUUCUCAGCAUAUAUAAUUUCUCAACUUCCAUUUCUCCUACUAGAGAACCACAAAAGUCGAAACCGAAAGGGGGGAAAUGGCUGAAAUUGCUACGGCUGUGGCUUCCAAAGCGGCUGCCGAAGUGGCUGCCGAAGCGGCAAAGCCCCUGCUGGCUCGGGCCCGUCGUCGAUGCGGCUAUGUGAUAUUCUCCAAACGCUACGUCGGCCAACUUGACGAAGAACUUAAGAAGCUGAAGAACGCGAUGGACAGGGUACGACAUUCUGUUGAUUAUGCAGAGCAUAACAUGAAGCUGAUCGAAGCCGACGUCGAGAAUUGGGUGAAAGAAGCGGAGACAGUCGCCCAGAAGGCAGGCGACGUGCUUGCCCAUAAGGCAGGCGACGUGCUCGAUGACGAGGGAAGAGCUAAGAAAACUUGCUUCUGCGGGUGGCUUCCCAACCCGAAGGGGCGUUAUUGUCUCGGCAGGGACGCGAGGAAGACAGCCGAGGCCAUCCAGGAACUCAUUCCGCAGGGUAGAUUCGAGAAGGUCUACUACGAGAAUGCUCCUCCGGCUCUUGUUGAACGUGCUGCCGCAGUGAAUUCGUCAGCCUGUGUCGGGGGCGACACUAUCCAGGAACUCAAUGCGCGGGGUCAAUUCGAGAAGGUUGACUUCGAGAAUCCUCCACCGGUGCUUGUUGGCGUUGCUUCUGGCGUGAAUUCGUCGGCCAGUGAUGGGGGCGACUUUAUCACCGGUUCGCGAGCUUCCAUCUUUCAGGACAUGAUGAAAGCUCUGGAUGAUGAGAAGCUAAAGGUGAUUGGAGUCUACGGGCCUGGCGGCGUGGGGAAGACUACGCUGUUGAAGGAAGUUGAGAAGAAACUCAGAGAAGCGGGGAGACCGUUCCGCAUGAUCGUCAAAGUGGAAGUUUCGCAGAAUCCAGACUUGAAUAAGAUCAUAGACCAGAUCGCUGACGCCUUGAGUCUGGAUCUGAAGGACAAGCAAAGCCCACAGGGAAAAGCAGAUGUUCUGUCGAAGAGAUUGAAGCGUGAUCCGAAUGAGACGUUUCUCAUAAUAUUUGACAACCUGUGGGAAAAAGUUGAUUUGGAGGCGGUCGGAAUUCCUCGGGAAGACGUGAGCAGCAAAUGCAAGUUGUUGCUCACGUCAAGAUUUGAAGAUGUGCUGGAGCAAGAGAUGGGUGCUGAUCGAACAUUUCUUCUUCAAGGUUUAAAGGACAACGAAGCUUUCAGGCUAUUUGAAAACAAGGUCGGCGACAAGCUCAAAGGCAAUGAGGGAUUGAAAUCAAUAGCGGAUCAAGUGGUCAAGAAGCUCGCAGGUUUGCCUCUUUUGAUUAUCUCUGUUGCAACCACUUUGAAAUCUAGCGAUGAGUCCGCAUGGAGAAACGCGCUGAUAGAAAUAGAUGAUUCAAAUAAAGAAAAAAAAGAAACGAUAGUGAGGUUGAGUUAUGACCAUUUGAAGAGUAAGGACGCAAAGUACUUAUUCUUGCUCUGUGGUCUUAUUGGUGGGACCAUUCAAGUCGAACUUCUGUUUGUACUAGCCAUGGGGUUGGGCUUGUUUGAAAGAUUUAAUAAGACGAUACAAGCGUCGAGGGAUAGAUUGAAUGAUAUGCUCAGUGAACUCCGUUCUGCUUGUUUGUUGUUGGAUGGUGGCAAUGACACGGAUAGUGUGACCAUACAUGAUCUUUACAGCGAGGCAGUCGUCUCAGAUGCAUUUAGUGGUCCGGAUUCCUUAAUGAUUAACAAAAAUGAUGGCUUAUGGCCAAAGGAAAAGCUUGAGAAAUGUUGGGCAUGCCUGGUUAAUGUUGGCAAUGACAAGCUUGCUGAACUAAUGCUACGUCAGUUUCCCCACGUGAAGAUACUUAUGUUGUCGGAACAAACCGAUAUGAGAGAUCGUAGUAGAAUUGAUUUCACAUACAUGGAGGAGCUUCGAGUCCUCUAUCUUCGCUCCAUGCAUAUCACCAGUUUACCUUCCUCGAUGGAGAUCCUCGGAAAUCUCCAGUCAUUAAGCAUAAAUUGUCAUGUGGAGGAUGUGGCAAAUCUUGGCAAGCUCAAAGCAUUGCAAAUUCUCAGCUUCGCGUGGUCCACAAUUUCUAGGCUACCUAAAGAAAUUGGGGAACUUACAAAUUUGAGAUCGUUGAAUCUUAGCAACUGCGAAGAGCUUCAGAGAAUAGAGCCCGGUGUCCUAAAACGCUUAAUCAAUUUAGAAGAGUUACAUAUGAAGGGAAGCUUUAAUCGAUGGAUGGGCAAAAAUGACAAACCAUUGGAAUUGUGUAAUGUUGGGCUUGCCGAGUUGAAGAGCAUGACAAAGCUAAAUUCUUUGGAAAUAUCGAUUCAUGAUCCCAUCAUACUCUUGGAGGUUGAUAACCUGCCAUUUGAGAACUUGACUAGAUUUUGGAUCAACAUAGGAAAUAUUGGGGGGAGGGAAUAUGAACGUUUGACAACCAUGAAGCUCAAUUUGGAAGGGUGCGGUAGUAUUCUUUCAAGAAAAUGGGUUAAGAAAAAUCUGCAAAAGACUCAAUACUUAUAUUUAAGCAAGUUAAGUGAGUUCAAAGAGAGCCCUCGCGAAUUUUGCACCCAAGGAUUCCAAGAAGUGAAGUAUCUCGACAUUAAAGAUAGCCCCUCAUUCAAGUACAUUGCCUACUCAUCCAAUGACCACCCUCUCAAUGCUUUUGGGAAGUUAGAGUCUUUUUCCCUUGAUAAUCUUAUUAAUUUGGAGAAGAUAUGCCAUGGCCCUAUCGAACCAAAUUGCUUCAGAAAAUUGAAAACUGUGAGUGUCGGACAAUGCAACCGAUUGAAAUACCUGUGGUGUCUUUUAGAUAUGCAAAUACUUGUACAGUUGGAAGAGAUUGAUGUGUUGAAUUGUGACUCAAUGCAAUCCAUUGUCACACAUGACGCAGGAGUAGGUAUAGUUUCUACUGAUAACAGAGUUGAGUUGCCUAAUAUACGCUGUUUGCGAUUGUUUGGGUUGCCAAAUAUGACGAGCUUUUGCACUAAAGCUGAAAUCACAUCAGAGGAUACUCCAAUCCAGGUAUUUUUUCCCCCAUUUUCCCCCCUUGUCAAUUUGUCCUGUUAGGAUGAGAUGAUACUAGCGUUCACUCAACAUCGGUACAUAUUGCAUUUAACUUUGACUAUUUGUACAAUUUGAUUCACGUUUUGAUUUACAAAAAAAAAAAAAAAAAAUCCCCUCAAAUAGAACACAUACCAUAUUAUAGUUAAAUAGAAGCCUCUUUCCAGGACUGAUUUAAAAAAAAAAAUUUAAAAUUUCAACAUUGGAUAAUUACAUUGCGAACUUGGGUUUCUAUUGUGACUAAUUUAUUACUUAUUUAACAUUCUUAAUGAGAUGAAAAAUUCGUGUGCUGAACAAAUGAAAGCAACAAUGAAUCUUGAAUGAAUAAAUAAAAUUCAAUAGUUUCAAAAUGAAGAAAGCGAUGUCCGGAGAUUCAAUAAAUGGAUGGCGAGCAAGAAGACACGUAACAAAGACAGUCCCAAUAAUUCACGUCCUGCCUAACGUGUAAUUUGCAACUGAUUUCAAUAUGUCAUGCCAAGUUGCCAACGUCCUAGUGUCAACAUCAUUGUGCAGUUGAGCUACAUUGAUAGCAUGAUAGUGGUGAGGAUUUCCUCAUGAAAACGAUUUCACUUUUCACGGAAGAGAAAUUCAUUUAUUUUUUAAUUUGGCCCGAGAGUUCCACUUAUUUUCUCGUGAAAAUAGCUUUACUUGUAUCAGACUCACCCUUAAUGAGCUUCAUUGUGAUGCCAUGUCAGGUUUCAUUGCCUCGCUUGGAAUCCCUGGAAAUGGUUGGACUCCUUGGCCUAGAAAAGAUACUUUACAAUGAACCUUCUUCUAAAUACAACAAUCUAAAAGCACUAAUGAUAAAAGAGUCUAAAUCCAUGUCAAAGAGUAUUUUGAAAUUAGAUUGGAUAUUGAAGCUGCCGAAUUUGGAAUCAAUGUCCAUUGAGAGCUCUCCAUCAGCAGAAGUAGUUUUCGACGUGGAGGAGCUACAGAUCAACGGAGAUGUGGAGAUUCUCUCUCAGCUAACUAGAUUGACAUUAGGGCGGUUACCAAACCUGCAGUGCAUGUGGAAACGGGAUGUAAAAUUGCAAGGAAUAUCAAUACUUCGAAACCUGAGGUUGCUAUAUGUCUAUGAAAUGGGGCUAUCAUAUCUCUUUUCAGUGUCUGUGGCUAAAUGUUUUAGAGAAAUUAGAGCCAUUACAGUGAGGAACUGUCCAAGUAUGAAGGCGGUGAUUGUGGAGGAAGGAAGAGAUGAAGGGACAUAUGAUAUUAUAGAGUUCCCAUUAUUGGAGCAACUAUGUAUAAUCCAAUGUCCCAUGGAGAAAUUCUUCCCAUAUCCUCAUGGAAAGCAAGAGCCAAUAACCAGUACUUCAGAUUCACAAGAUGCUAACUCCGAUUCCUUCUUUGAUCCAAAGGUACAAAUCCCUUCUCUUGAGAUUAUAUCCAUAAUAGCCAUAGGCACACGCUUUGUUGGGGGUUAUAAAAAAAUCUCUUUGAAGAAUUGUAUUUGGUUCUAUUAGUUAGAAUGUGUUCAUUAUUUAAAAUUACAUUUGUCAUAGUAAGGCCAUUAGUCAAAAUUCAUUCUUCCAUCGCAUCAAAUAGAUUGUUAAGAUUAAGCCAAAUUGUUAGUUGAUUCAUAGCUAUGAUCUAACGUAUAACUCUCAUGAGUAGGUUAGUUUACCAAGCUUGGAAUUUUUAUGACUUGAUUCAAUAGGAUACUUCAAAAGGACAUGGCAAGAUGAACUUCCCAUAAGUUCUUUAUGUGAAUUAGCCACCCUCAUCCUUGAAAAUUGCUCUAAGCUACUCAACGUCUUCCCUUUGACGAUCAUAGGGAGAUUGCACAAUCUAAAAGAACUCCGAGUUUCAAACUCUCUCCCUUGGAAUUGUUGUUUGACUGUAGGUCCUUUCAUAUUAUCAUGUAUUAGAACGAACAAUGUCAUAAAUUUGUCCUACUUAUCCUCCUUACAUUAUUCUCGUGCAGGUCACAUUUCCCAAUAUACGUAGUCUAAAAGUUGAAGGCCUUCAGUGCAAAGAGCUAUGGAACAAUCAAAUUCCUGACCAUUCCUUUUGGAAAUUGGGAUCUCUUGAAUUGAAGGACUGUAACAACCUCCAACGUAUUGCCCCGUCCUAUGUGUGGAAGAGGUUGCAUCGCUCUCUCCGGAUGCUAAAAGUGAGUUCAUGCCGUUCAAUCGAGAUCAUAUUCGAAGGUGAUGGGACAGAUAUUGAGUGUGGUAAAUUGUGGAGGCUGGUUUUGCAUGAUCUCAGAAAUUUGAGGGACAUUUGGCAAUCCGAUGGUCUUCUAAACGUCCCGUUCCCAAACUUGAGAGAAGUAGAGGCUGUGAGGUGCUCUCGUUUGGAAAUGCUUUUCCCUACCUUCACGGUGAAAUUUCUUGGGCAAAUAAAAGAGCUGAUAAUGGAGUCGUGUGAAAAUAUGGAACUAAUUGCUGGCCAUGAAAUAGGGGAAGAAGCCACCCGCACCACAAUCACCUUCUCCAAGUUAAUUGCUCUUAGACUUUUCAAGUUGCCGAAAUUCAAGGGCAUCUUACUUGAGAGAUACUCUCUGAAACUACUGGAGGCCUUCCCAUCGUUGCAAGUCUUGAGUUUGGCAGACUGUGGAGCAGAGCAGAACCUACGCCGUUUAAGCAGGCAUAGGUACCGGAUUGUAAAGAAUAGGUACCGGGUUGUAAAGAAUUUGCGCUGUUUAAGCUGGCGUGGGUACAUCGACCAGAAAAACAAAAAAACAAAAAACAAAAAACAAAAAGCUGGCGUAGGUACCGGAUUGUAAAGAAUUUGCGCCGUCGUGUCAGGUAAUGCACAAUUCUCAGUGGGACCCACACGCACUUUACAUCACGUGGCUCUCUUCCUUACUCUCUACAUCUAACGGUCUGUUCAUUCCCUUUUAUGCUAAUCAAAUUCUUUCUAGCCCUCUGUUAUUCCGAUUCCUCUGAUCUUCAUUGUUUUCUCUGUCGCCCUCCAUCCACCAACAGCCACCGCCGAACGGAGAGCAUUGAUCGAAGGUACUCGGGUGAUUGUUGAGCAUCCGCAGAUUACUCUCUCGGUGAUUUCAAUUGAAUCCUUUCCUCCCGCUUCGUUGCCAAUCGUCACCGCUUCCCGAUGGCCGCCAAUAGUUCCACCAAGCCGAGAAGGUCUGUGGUGCCGAAGUGCUCGAACUUUGGUCAUGACUGCCUGCUUCAACGAUUCCAUUCCUUGACGAUGCUUCUAUUAUAUCCUUACUCAUGCCCAAUGUCCAUUGCUAUAGCUAAUCAUUCUUCAUUCACCUAAACCACAUGUACUUUGUUUUCCGUUGCUAUUACUAGUGUAUGUGUGCAAAUCGACUGUGAUUGAGUUUGUAUUAAUGAUUUGAACUGGUGUUCCUCCGCCGAAAUGUACACCACCUGUUUGAUGGAAUUCGAACUAAGUCUGUGUGUAUUUUGAUUUAGUUCUUGACUGAGAAUUCCCUUCAUUACUAGAUUGGUAAUCUAUUCUGGUCAUAAAAGCAUAUUUGAGUUCUCUCUCUUCAUAAAUAGUCAUAGGUAUUCAAUUUCGAACUUGUUUUGAAUAUGUUGGAACCUUGUUAAUGCAUGCUGAUUCACGACUGUUGCAGCCCUGCCUUGAUGUCGAUUGGUCCCUGAUUUUAUGCUAUUGUGCUCAAGUAAGCAUGUGCAGUGAUAUAAGAUUGUGUCAUGGUGAAUUUCAUGUUUGCUUGGGAAAGAAAUUAUGUCAUGAAUGAAUGAAAUUCUACUGAUCUGUGGAUGCUGACUCUAUCUUGAUAUCCCUGAUUUGGUGUGCUUUUGAUUCCAGCUUGAGGUUAGUUCAGUUAUGGAUCAUAUAUGUUCAUGCUAGGAGAAAGUAUUAUGUUGAAUCUCAUGCCAAUUUUGCAAGAAUUAUAGUCAUAUGGCUUGUAGGAAGAUAUGGCUUCAAUUUCAUGUCUAUUAAUCAUCAAAAUGAUCACGAUUUGCAGUCUUGUAUGCUUUGUUACAAUUCUGCACAUGUACUGGAAGUUGUGGAAUAAGAAUGAAUUAGAUGGAUUAUGUCUUAGUUUGGUUGCCUUUUUGAUAUCGUGUGUUCUAGUUCCUUGUCAAUUCCACUUGUUCGGAUGGUAAUUGCAUGAUUAAAUUGAUGAGAUGGAUGCUUGAUAUUGCCCUGAGAGUGUUGGCCACUGCUGUUCAGAAUGAUGUUUCAAAGAGACGAUUUUUGUUUUCCUCCCUCCCUCAUAGAGUUCACUUGAGGGUUGCUUUUGUGAAAUCUAGGGGAAAGGGAAGAUUAGUCACCAGCAUUACCAGUACCCUGCCCUUAAAAUCCAUGAGGACCCUACCCAUAUGUUUUACUAGGAGUAGGUGCAUAGUUCCGAUUGUCUCUCCUAUUAACCAUUAUGCACUUGAGGUGCAGAGCUCCAUCUAUCUCCUUGCAGCAGGUCUCUCUGUUGCUGAUAGCAAUUGUUGUUAUAACCUUGUUAACUGUAGUUUCCCUCAUAUGAAUGCGCCAGAUCUCUCCUCUGUCCUUGAUAUGGAUCCCUUCCACCGGGGGCACAAUCCAUAUUGCCCAUUGGCAUGGGAUUUCUUCUUUCACCUUGCCCCUUGUUUAUUUGCCACUCAGCCUCCUUGCCAGUCAUAGUUUCUAUUGCAACCACGCAUUUUGCCCGCCCAACCUCCAUACUAAACUGGAGGUGGUCUGAGUAAUUACUCCAUUUUCAUACUUGUGACCUAAUGACUUAGUAAGCUCAACAAAACAACAAGCGUUGCUAGGUCACAAAUCAUAGACGCAUUGGAAAGUUGAGGUUGUGGAAUUAGAGGAUGAAUGGAUUAAAUGACUGAGAAAAUUUGGCAGAGAUGUAUAGUAGGUGAAAUUCCCAGUGGAGUCGAGUCAUACAUCCGUACUCCUCGAUUUGGGGAUCAAUGUAAGAAUCUGGUAAUACGAAAACAACUCCUGGUAGAUAGGAAACUCAUCAAAGACACUUGCUUUUGAAUUGCUCUGACUCUGUUUCAGUCUAUCAUAGCUUGAUAAGUGGUUGUGCUACAUGCACAAAUUCUCUUUUUUGAUUCCUCAAAUUUAAACACGAGUAUCAAAUGUCAUCUCAACUUUGCAAUGUAGAUCAUGCCACGGUUGCCUUGGGACAUUGAUAGUGGACUACACUCAUCACAAAAAGCACUUAAUUCUCAUGAUCAGGAAAUAACAUAUCCAUGAUGUUAUGGUGCUAAAUGUAAGCAUCAGAUUAACUACUGUCGAUUUUUAAAAAAGGUGUCAAGAGCCUAUGCUCAGGAUAGUCAUAUCGACCAUCGCAUAGGUCCAACCCGCCAAUGAAAGCCGUUAUUUUGUGGUUGUUUAGCAAAACAAUUUGUUUGUCUCGAGAAAAAGUACACAAUAGGAACCCCCUGCUUCAUUGAAUGAUUUUUUAAGGUUACAUUAUGGUUUUGAGUUAUUUUUCAAUAGAGAUAAAUUUUACUAUAAUUAGUCAAUGAAAAUUAGUUAUACACGUUGCCUGACAACACUUGUUAGUGAGGGUAAAUUGCUUUUAGAAUUAUGGAUGCCCAUGCUGAUUCAUUUUGGUAUACUUGUGCCCAAUUUAUGUAUUCUUAUUUAUCAUUACAAAUCCUUGUUUGACCAAAGAUCUCCAUCCGUACUACCUUAACAUCUUGUUUUAAGUCGCUUAAAUAUUUUCAACCUUUCCUCUCUUUUUCCGACGUGGAUAACUUCUUAAAAACAGAAUGUAACUUCAUUUAGUAUUAAGCAGAUAUUGAUAUUUUCAAACUUUCCUAGCAGGAAGGAGGGAGGGAGAAAGAAAUUAUGAAAUUAAAUGAAGGCGUAUAAAUGAGGAAUUAGUGGAAAGGAAGUAGAUAGAGCUGAUAUAAAAAGGGUGCAAAAUCCUUUGAUUAGAGUGAUACUUCACCGUUAUGAUAAUAUUAUAGUAAGAGAACUCGUGAAAUUGAUCUGAAUAAAUUUUCUAUUGAAAAUAUCAAUAUGAUGAUCCAUGAAGUUUCAUAAAAAAAAAAAAAAUUUUGAUUAGUUAAAUCUGACAAUCAAAAAUAAAUUACUAAUGAAAGAGAUUAUUAUCUGUGUUGACUUUAGGGGAGGAUUUUGUUGGCUACAAAAGACUCUCGAGUAUUAUUAUUUUUCUAAUUUAAACAAAGAAGGGCGAUAAUUCAUCCAAAUUACAAAGUUCUAGUCGAAAUCAAUACCAUGAAAUGGAAAAGAAUGCUAUGAGAUAUUAAAUGAAAAUCGAAACUCUAAACUGAAAUUGAAUGUGGCUUGAAAUAAAAGGUACAUUUGACUGUAAUCUGAUAGGGAGGAACUCAUUUUGCAUUUCCUUAUGUUUUCUCCCACUUUUAAGAGGAAAUAUUUUUGUGAGCCCACAAGAAAAUUUUUCUCUGCCAUUCUCUUCUUCACUUCCCUCCCACUCAUUGCAGCCCAACAAGGAAACAAAAUUUCUAAUUCUGUACCAUAACACGGUAGGUUAUAUCUUUGAAAAUCAGAAUGGGUCAACAAAUGUUCAAACAUAGCUUGUAUUUCCGAGCAUGCUUACUAAAUACUAGUUUGACACGCUAAGGUAGCUUAUUAGCAUUGGUGUAUUGUCCUCGAACAUAAUGGUAAGUUCUCCCAUGUUGAAUGUAGAUUAUGACUUUUUGAAAUUACAAAAUUUGGCCAAUUUUCCAUUGCCUUUCUAAUUGCAUUUAUGCAUUAGCAGAUAUGGAUUAAUGAUCCCAUUAACAUACAUAUAGAAACAUACUAAUGCACUUUAUAUUCACUUGUUCCAUUAAUGACAGGUACAUCAUUGCGUAAUGGAAGAAUGCUUGGCAAGCUCAGUGCAAGGCCCACUUCUUUAUUUUUACUACUUACAACUAGAGAACUCUCUCUCUUCCUCCCUCCCGCGCUUGGUCCUCUGUCCAACCCAAAGCAAGCACAACCUUAAUUUUCAUACUCCCAUAAAGAAAAGUCCUUCCCCUUUUGGGUUGAUUGUGGGCAAGGAGGGAUUCAAAGUUUCCCCAGAAAUAGCAAACAGGGAAACCCGAGCAACAUUAUCUUUUCUUUCUACUAUAAAUUCCGAGAAUCUCUAUUUUUUACUAAGACACCUGUUGUUGGAUUGAAUUCUAACGAAUCAUUCGUGAAUCUGUAAAAAACUCUUUAUUUAUUAAAUAAAAUAAAAAUUAGAAUUCAAUUCUAAUUUAAAGACAAUAAUAGAAUAGAUUAUCAUAUAUAUAUUUCUAUAUUUCACAUAGAAAGAUAAAGAAGAAUAAGUCUCAUUUAUUUAAUUAUCCAUUUCUUGCACUUAUUAUUUAAUAUAUAUACUCACUUAGAUAUACUCAAUAUAAAUAUAUACGAAUUAUAAUUAUACUAAGACAUCUUUCUAACAAUAACAGGUACAAAUAUUAAAUCAAGGUACCCGUUCUAUGGUAAUUUUUAACAACUUACCCUCUUUCUUUGUGCCUUUAGUGGGCCUCGGACUCACCGGCUUCCACCCCGGCAGUGGCAAAUGACUUCAACACUUCUUCGCCUGCCCAGACAUCGACUACCGGGGCCUUCUACCUGUGGAAGACCACUCGAGCAACCAACUCCACCUCUCUUUUGAACAAGGGAUUGCCGCGGGGGACGUUGGCGGCAAUGAUAGUGGGGAUUAGGAUGGGGGACUGAUUCUGCUGGUUGGGGGCAGCACCACAGACAGUGGAAAGUAGAUACACCACGAAUGUGGAUAGGGCACGGUGUGCGUCAUGGCGAAGCAAGGCGGCGUGGCCGUGGCCACCGUGGCCUGUUAGUGUUGCAACUGCAAAGGUGCCUCUCUAUUGUUACGAACCACGCCACCGUCUCAGCCGUUGCCCCCCCGAGCCCCACCGUCGCCUGUCGAAGCCCCAUUGACAGCUUCAAUUCGUCCCCUACCACUCUCUCUCUCUCUCUCUCUCCCGGAAAACGAUUCCACUCUACUCUCUCUCGUCCAGCAAACCACGCUUACGUUGCCUCCCAAAUAAUAAUUGUUUUUUUUUUAAAGAUAGUUUUCUAGUUCACCUCAUGCAAGACGACAUUUUAAAGCUUUGAGUUUUAAGGGCAUCCAAUUUGUUAGAUAUCACUGAUUUUCUCAGGCGAAUCUAUUGCUGUUAGUAAUUUUUUUUCAUACAGUUAGUAAAAUUUUAAAUAGAAUGGUAUCUUGUGAUAAAUGAAGUAAGUAACUUAUACUCAGCAUCCAUAAAUUUUAUUGGUCGCCUUUAGUUUUCUGUAAAUACAUUUGUUUAUUUCAGUACAAGUCUAGAUUCCCUAUUCAAAUUUUCACCUUUACUUUUAAUUUGCUUGUAUUUUCAAUUUCCUGCAUUUCGACUCGAGUUGUUUAUUGUUUCGAAAAAAAAAUGAUUUAAUUUUUCCGAAAAGAGAAACCGAGUGUAGAAAAUAGAGGUAAGAGAUACAAAGGAAAUCUCAAUAAUCGAGCCGGUCUUUCUCUCAGUAACGAAUGAAACUCAAACUGCUGACUUCAGAAUUUUCAAGUCUGAAUUUGAGGGAAGAAGGGAACAUUGGAGUCAAUUUCGUUUGCAUAGCUCUUUUGCAACAAAGGGAUUGAGUCGACUAAAGCCUUUUGUUGACACCCAAAUUUUUAUUUCACAAAAAUAAAGAUAAAAAUAAAAAAAUGAAUAAUGAAUAAAAAUGGAUCAAAUAAAAUGAAUGAACGAUGAAAAAUUGAGUCGUGUGGGCCGGAGUGUCUAGCCCACUUGGUUAUUUCCGGUUCACCCCUUAACCGGGCUUCCCAUUUACUUUAUUCUCUUGGGCCUAUUUCCUUCUUUUUCUUCGGCCCACCAGGGCCUACAAAAGAAGCCCAGCCCAUCACUCAUUCUUGCUCUUGCGCGCACGCGCUCGUGUGAAGACCGUCUGUGACUCUGGGACGCAAGGAGGAGAGAAGGUACAGUGACGGUCACCGAACAAAUGCCCGUGAGCGAGGGAUGAGAAAGGAGCCUGUGACGGAAGCAGAUCCGAGAGCGUGAAUCUUAACCGAUACACUCGCGGCUCAACCCUGCGAAAUCGAGAUAUAUUCGUGCGAGAUGAUGAUGUCUAGAGCCUGUCGCGUCGUGUUUUGGUUGGAAAAUGGUGUAAAAGCUGAAUCAAAAACCUGUUCUCGUGGCUGCACAACCUGUGUUCGACAAAAUGCUCGAACGAUGCGCCCAAAUCCAUGUUAUCCGAUCGACGUUAUAAAUUUAGUUCGAGGCUUGAUUGCGCAUAUUUUGUUGACGCUCGUCUGCUUUCUUCGUGUUUUGCUAUGUUUUUGUUUGAUUUCACGGCCCACCUUUUGAUGUUCGUUGACGGCCAUGCAAAACCGAACUUGGUUCGGCCGUCGCCGGCGACGGCGGCCGGAGAUGUAAUCUGGUGAUGGUGUGUGGUGGUAUGAGCGCCGGUGUCCGUAGAUGGCCUCUAGUUGUAUGGGUUCCAAAAAUGGAGAAGCAGAUGAACGUUCGGAGUGAAAAAAUGGCUUCGGGGAAGAAAAGGGGAAAAAGAUUAAGGGCAGCAGAAAAGGACUUGAUAAUGAAAAAGACAAAAGAGGAAAAAAAAUUUAAAACAAAUCAAUAAAAAUUUCAAAAUAUAUUUUUUUGUAAAUCCGACCAGGUCGGAUCUGGGUAGACGGGUUGGAUCGGGCUUAUGAUCCGAACCCAUUCCCCGAAUAUAAUAAUAAUAUAUAAUAAUAAUAAUAAUAAGUAAAAAAAUUUGAAAAAAAUCCAAAAAUAAAAAAUCAAUAAACAUUUAGAAUUUUAGAAAAUCAUUAAAGAUUUAAAAAAAAAUCCGAAAGGUCAUCAAAAAAUAAUAUUUCGAAAAAAAUUUCAAAAAAUUGAAAAUUCAUAAAAAUCAUAAAAAUUCAGAAAAUCCUAGAAAAUCCAAAAAAUUCAAAAAUUGGAAAAUUUCUAUAAAAAGUGAAAUGAAAAAUAGGGUUUUUUUAGGGCUGAUAUUAGAAUGCUUGUAUAGUUUCCUUUACAAUUAUAACUAAUUGUGCAUUUCAAUAUUUUGAGUAUUACUUUUCUAUUCUAGAAUGGUUAAGACGAUUCUUAGAUUUCUUUUGGCUAGGCUGUUAUGGUGUUCGUCAGCACAUAAUCGAGUAGGUACUAAAAGGGCAUUAGUCUUAAUGCUAACGUAAUCAAAUUCUCGAAUGCAGAAUAUCUGAUUACAAAAAGUAAGAUAUCCUUCCAUAUCUUACUUAGCUUCUAGUCGACCGAAAAGGCUAACAGCAACUCCUUUGUCAAAAUUUGCGUAUGCUUAAUUGAUUUAAAAUUUGAACGUUCGAUAUCGUGCGAAGUAUUGGCUUGGGAGAACUUGAGUCAAUGGAAAGUAUGACAACACCCCUAAACAUAACUCUCUUUCCCCCAAGGGGUUAGGUCGCGACACCUUCCAUUAAGAACAAAACGACACAAUCUAGAGCAAUAACCGUAACAAUAAUCAUCGAUGCACCAUUUUGAUACUAGCAAGAUCAUCUAAAAGGAGUUUCGCCUGGAUAUUAAAACGGCCGAAUAAGAAGGAAGCAACUGGAAUGACAUUAGCUGGAGCUUGAAGUCAUGGAAACGAGCAGCGAUGGAAAUGGUCUACAUCUAGUACGCCAGAAGGUCUUUCUGGCAGAGACAUUACUAGCCGAAGACAACGAACGUGACUAGGAAUCUCUGUCUCCUCCAAGCUCGGCGUCAAGGCAGAGCAAGCACUCCUUUCUUUGGUCAAAUCAAUAGCGACAUCCUCGCAGGGCGGAGGAGGAGGAGGAGGGGAAAGAAGGCCAGGUUAGGGGAAAAAGCUUAAAUGUUGCUGUGAUGGGGCUGAUGGGUUUGAGCUGCAGAUCAAAUCAAUGGGUUUGCUCUUGUGGGCCGCACCAAUUGGACCAACUUGGCCUUUUUUUAUUUGUUAUUUAUUUUUAUCUUUUAAUUAUUCUCUUUUUUUGUUCUUUUUACUACCAUUCAUUGUUUUUAUGCUCUUUUUUUAGGAAAAAUGUAUGCUUAAUUUGUCUACUAAAAUUUAGGGCUCGACAGCUUUAAAAAUAUUUACCUAAUAUUCAAAGAAGAAUAUCAUGCUGUCACAAACAAACAACAAGACAUUGUAUGUGUCGUUGUGUCCAAUUUUAACUUACCAAAGGCUAGAGUAGUUUCUUGAUCGAUGGAAGAAAUGGGCCAAAAAUAUGGGACAAUCCAAUCAAAUAGAAUCAGGUAUGUGUUAAUGAAAUAUUGACUCAUCUAAAAUGACUUCAUUUAUGACUCGGAUUCAUAUGGACCUAAUUUCGAUCUCGGCCAUUCGGUGGGUUGAAGUCCCAGAAAUCACAGUGGAAGAUUAAAUAAAGAUUGGUACAAUGCAAGAGAAAGAGAUGGCUUUUUAUAAUGAAAGAUGAUUCUUUCGUGUUUUAUUUUUCCUAUUCAAGGAUUCUUUUUCAAUUUAUUUAAAGGUUCUCAAAGUGAAGAAAUGAUUAAACAUGGCAAAGAGUCGAUAAAGAAGCAAAAGAAAUGAAUAAAUAUGUUAAGAAUAACAUAGGUUUAAAUAAAACUGAUGUUUACAAAGUUUCACCUAAAAAAAGGGACCAGGUGACCGGUCAAGUGGUCCAAGACUUGAUUUGCAAGUCAAAGGUCGCAAGUUUAAUUUCCCAAUCUAUUAUCCAUUUUGGGAUAAUUAUGCGACUAGCUUGGCGGAAUUAAUUUGAACAAUAUCUUGUGGCAAACACAUUCACCCGUUUGGGGUCAAAGAUUGUUGUGGGCCGGAGAAACUCCAAAUAGAAUUUCCAGCAAAAACAUUUGAGUCGCCGUUGAUGCCCCUCGAUGAAGGGCUGUGACUCCACUUCGACGAAUUUCCACUUCCACCAUGAAGUCGAGACAAUUUCCUUCAUGCGCAAUAGCAUAAUCAACAAAAAUCUUUUUUGACAAUAACAAUUAUAAUAGGCAAUUUUGUCUCCAGAAUGGAAAAAAAGUCAAAUAUAUGGUGGAGUAGUCAGCUAUGUAGCACCGACACGGACACGUGACACGUGACACGACACGACACGACACGUCGACACAUCAUUUCUUAAAAAUAGAGAAUUUCGACACGUUCCGACACGUUAUAUAUUAGAUAUAUUUUUAUAUAUAAAUACAUAAAUAAAUAAUAAUAAAAAUAGCCUAGAAUUAAUUUACACAAAAAAUAUUAAAUAAUAUCAUUCAUUAUUUUAAUUUGUUACAAUAAUACACAAAACUUAGAGGAAAAAAACAUUGUUUAAAGAAAAAUGCUGAAAUUAUAUUUUUAAAUUUAUUUAUUUAUCAUAUAUAGCAUUUUUUAUUACUUCUUUCAGAGUAAAAGACUUUUAAAAAAAAUAAAACAAUUCUAAAAAAUAAAACUGAAAAAAAAAAUUGACCCCGUGUGUGUAUAUUUAUAGAAUAUUGCCCAGACAGAGAUUGAAUUAUCGGGUAUAGGGAGUCCAGAAUUCUUCAGGGAGAAUUUUGGUGUCUAGAAUUGAACAACUUGCUCCUGUGUCAAUGAGAGCAAUGACAGUGAUCGGUUUGGCAAACUUUGAGGUGAGGAUUUUAACUGGGAAGUGUGGACAAUGGGUUUGACUUGAAAAUAUGUUAGAGUUUGGUUCUGGGGAUGAAGGUGAUAUAUGGAAAAUAUCCUCAGACUCUGAGUCUGACUCAGUCUCACUGGAAGUUUGGUAGGAGGGAAUAGCACAAAGAGUUUGUUCAGAUGGUUCUUCAUCAACAGAGAAUAAGGAUUCAAUAUCAUCAUUUUCAAGAGAAAUACCUAUUUCGCUUUCAAUAUGAUGGAUGAAAUGAUUCUGACCUUUUCUUGCUUGAGGACAACUUUUGGCGAAAUGUCCUUUCUGAUUGCAAAUGUAGCAACGAUUUGAUUUUUUGUGGCUUGUGCGAUCCUUUCUUUUGCGUAGGUAUCGCCAUUUCUUCUUUUUCCGGAAAUGCUUGGAGCUUUGUUUGGAUUUCUUCAUCCAAAACUUCUUGUAGUGCUUCUUCUUGCGGGAGUGCUUGCCACAUGUUCCAUCACAGUCUUUUUUGGAGCAUUUAAUUUUCAAAUCUUGUCUGGAGCAGGCUGAUUCUAGGCGUCUGUCAUCUGUGAUGUAUGUUUGCACCAUUCUGCGCUUUAAGCAUAAUUCUUCAAGGCAUAUAUGGAUCUCUUGCUGUAUUUCUCCCAAGGGAAUAUCUUGUAUCUGCCUUUGUUUUCCAAAGAAUGAUCUUUCGACCAUCUGGGAUAGUUCUUUUGGAAUGGAAGUAAGGAAAGCAUGCUUCAGAUUUGGUUCUGCUCCAAUCUGAUAAAAGGUUUGAAGCAUUAACUUGAAAUGCUUAUCAAGGUGCUUCUUCUGGAGGGAGCAGCAUCGCCUUUCGAAGAACUCUCUUUUUUUUUUAUCUCUAUGAGAUCGUCGGGUUUUCCCACAAAGACAUGAUAUAAGAGAGUGAUUGCAUGGCUGAACGCGGGUGACAUUAGGAAAUGGAUCUGAUCCUGUUCUGAAAGGGAUUGCCACCAGUGCUUUAGGCUUCCUGUAAAUCUUGUAACAAAGUUGUACAAUACAUCAUUCAUAUCAUGGUUGGUGAUAGACAGUGUAUUCAUCCAAGUGUGAAAUUCUUCAAGUCUUAUCGGCCAUUUUUGAUAAGGAAUAUCAUCAAUGGUGAAGAAUUGUUUUGAUGCAGUGGACACCUGGUGAGUAGGCUUGCUUGUCUGGCCUAUUUCGGGGUCAGAAUAAUCUGAUUCCAUAUCAUCGUCUAGGGAGUCAGCCAUGAAUAUUGAUGAAGUAAUUGGUGCAAUAGGAAGGGUAUCAACUGUAGGAACUGAGAAGGACGAUGAAGAGGAAGUAAGGGAUACUGAAGAUUCUGUUUCAGUUGCUGAAGAUUCUGUUUCAGUAUCAUAAGAAGCUUGCUUUAUUGAGAGCAAAGUCUGCUUUUCCGGAGGAUCAGGUUGUUCAUGCUGUUGGAUAACAGAGUCAGGUUCCUGGGUGCCUAAAUCCUUUAGAAAAAUUUCUAAUGGAUUUGAUAGCAUCAUCUGUUCUGGUCUUUCUCUUAUAAUAAUGGAACUUGAUCCUGUAGGUGGUGUUUUUUCUUUUCCCUUUUCUUUCUGUAGGGUUUUGAGGCGAUUUCGCAAAUCUGCCAUAUCCGGUUCUCUUCUGUAAGGAUCUGUUGGGAUAGUGGCGAAAAUGGAUUUUUUUGGUGGUGGGGGUAAAUAUCCAGUUUUAGCAGGAGGUGCUAAAGGAUCAAAUGGUCUGAACCUUCCUUCUUCAAGAAGUUGGAUUUGGUUCUUGAGUUUUUCUAUUUCUGGCUUUGGAUUUUCAAGAUAAUGGUACCCAAGAUGUUGUCCUGAUUCCAAGGCGUGAAGCCUUUUCUGGAAUUCAGAGAGUAUCUUUUUGGUACUUUCGUCAUACCUUCGGAGAUCUUGUUGCACAUUUCCGAUUUUGGAGUCAACUGCCUUGAAGGCAUUGUUUUGUGCUAACAGAGUCUCUGAUUGCCAGUUUAGAACAGCUUCAGCAGCAGAGGUUUUUUUUUGUCUUCCAUGUUCGUCCACAUCAGUGGGAGUAGAAACUUUAGGAACAUGUCGAUAUCUUCCUUGCGGAUUAAUAAACUCUUCUGCAGCCGGGAAAGAGAGUUUAGAACCUUCCUUGACCAGGGGCGGAAAGUCAGCAUCCUGGAACAUAGCGAUAGAAGAAGUAGGUGGUACUUCUUUUGGAACUUCGAAGGGGUAAGAAUGCUUCUUAGCCCACUUAAGAAUUGGCUUAUAGAAAGGAGAGAGGGUUUGCUUUUUGUGAGGAGGAGAUGGUGGUGGUGUUUUUGGUGGAUCUAGUGAGGUUUGGAAUAUAGUACUGGACUCUGGUGAUGGUGGUGGUGCAUAAGAAACCAGGAAUUGGUAUUUGUCGCUUUCACCAAGAGUAUCGAUGGAUGAAUCUCCAUCUAAGUACCUUUGGUACAUUUUAUCCUUUGGCCUUUUCCGCCGAGGUGGAGGUUUUUCAAACGGGUUUACCUCGUCAGGAGAAUUUAUACAGGAGGAACAUGGGCAGAAAGGAUCCCAAAAACAAUGGCCAUAAUUGUCUUGAUAGUAAUGAACAGGAUGUCCAUCACCAUCAAAGUGUCGAACAUGCUUUUUUGGAUCUGGCUCAGAAAUGGAUGGAGGAACACAUGGUUCAAUCAUGAGUAAGGUUUGGAAAAUGGAAGGACUUUCUUCCUUUUCUUUGCUAAAUUUGAUGGAAACCGUUCCAUCUUUUUUCCUUACGACCUCUGAGUCCGUAGAUUGGAUAGGCUUGUUGUGCUGGUGUAGCUUCUCAUAGUUGGUAAUCCAGGUUUCUGGAAGAAGCUUGGCUAACUUCUCCUUUGGAAUCUGUCUGGGAACAUGGAUGCAGGAUGCCUGGUCAUUUUGCAUGGAGAUGAACAAGGCAUCUUCAUUACCAUUGUUGAGGUUAAGAUCAAGCGCAUGGUUUUGCACUCGGUAAACCGUCUGGUAAUGUAAUGUUGCAGCUACAGAGUCAGCAGUUUGAGGGGCUCCAGUGAGUUGAAGUUGGACUUUCAUAAAAGAAAGUAACUGAGGAUCUGAAAGGGCUAUGUUGAAGUUGGGGUAUAGAGUGACAAAGACGGUUCCUGCAUUCAAAGUAGUCUGAACAGUACCAAUGCAAGCAUGCUGGUAUUGUAAAAACCCGGUGUCUAAUAAUGCUAUUCUUGCCACAACCGGUAGACCUUUACGACCAUGGAACGUGAGAGCAAGACGAACAGCUCCAUAAUGGACAUGAGUGUAUCCCUGUUGAGCCCAUUGUCUGGGGAAUUCUGGAGGGAUCUGAAGAGUAACAAAGUAUUCCUUUUCAGUAGCAGGAAUAGGAUGCUGGUCGAAUUUGGAGGACUGGACGUACUCCUUUACUUGCUUUGGGCUUUGGUGAAUUAGCUGACGGAUGGAGCGAAUCGGUGAGAAUGAUGAGUUUGGUUUUGCAAAAGCAGAAUUUCUUUGUCAGGCUUCCUUUUAAGAAAAAUGAAGAUAUAAACCCAACUAAGGCAAGCCACGUGGGAAUGAAGCCAGAACAUUUGGUUCUAGCCCAAAGGGAAUGCUCGGAACUUUUACAACAAGGACUUAUUGAAGUCUCUGACUCACAAUGGGCCUGUGAAGCUUUUUAUGUCAAUAAACGUGCCGAGCAAAACAGAGGAAAAAUGAGAUUGGUAAUUAACUAUCAGCCUCUCAAUCUUUUCCUUCAAGAUGAUAAAUUCCCUUUACCAUCUAGAGACUCUCUCUUCAGUGGCCUAACCAAGGCCCACAUCUAUUCCAAAUUCGACCUCAAAGCCGGAUUUUGGCAAUUGGGCAUCCAUCCUGAAGACAGAUCCAAAACAGGAUUCUGUAUCCCGAACCAACACUUUCAAUGGAAAGUUCUUCCUUUUGGCUUAAAGGUAGCACCAUCCCUUUUCCAGAAGGCCAUGUGUCGUAUCUUCCAGCCAAUUCUAUCAAGUGCAGUAGUAUACAUUGAUGAUAUCCUGCUCUACAGUCCUGAUGAACAGUCACACUGUCAACUUCUUGAGCAGUUUGCAGAAAUCAUAAAAAAACAUGGUAUUAUGCUUUCCCAAAGGAAGAUGAAUAUUGCCCAGACAGAGAUUGAAUUUCUUGGUAUGCACCUUAACAAAGGUACAUACUACCCAGGGCCGCAUAUAGCCCAAGAAUUAUUGAAGUUUCCUCAGGACAAUUUCACAAUAAAGCAAGUUCAGCAAUUCCUCGGGAUAAUUAAUUAUCUCAGGGUCUUUGUCCCAAAUAUUGCAAAACUCCUGAUCCCUUUGCAAUCCAUGCUGAAGAAGAAUUCCCCACCUUGGGGAAAAACUCAGACCAAAGCAGUAGCAGAACUGAAGGAGAUUAUGCAGAAUCUCCCACAAUUACAAAUACCAUCAACAGGCAAGAGAAUUCUCCAAACUGACGCCAGUGACGAAUACUGGGCAGCUGUUCUCUUUGAAGAAAUCGAUGGUAAGAGACUCCUCUGUGCUCAUAAAAGUGGAAAGUUUUCCCAAGCUGAAAUGCAUUACCAUUCCACUUUCAAAGAAAUCUUAGCAGUCAAAAAUGGAAUCAAAAAAUUUGAGUUCCACCUCAUCGGCCACCAUUUUCUGGUAGAAUUAGACAUGGCAUCUUUCCCUCAGAUGACCAAGUUUAAACAGAAGCAGAUUCCAAAUUCCCAGCUGCUUCGAUGGGCUGAAUGGUUUUCAAAAUACUCCUUUGAAACUAAGCAUAUUCCUGGAAAGAAGAAUGUACUUGCUGAUUUCUUAUCAAGGCCAAAGGCACCAGCCGAGAUCAACAUGUAUAUCAAAAGGCCUGCUUUCCAUAUGCUCAACUAUGGGGUAAAAUACAAAAUUGAGAACAUCAAAGAUUUGCAAAGCUGGAAAUAUCCCCAGGAGAUUAUUCAACAAAUCCAGAACGACAGCCUUGAUGAAAACAUGAAGAACCUCAUGUGGCAGAGCCACACAAACCUAUUCAGGUUCAACAGAGGUUCGAUUCUUUAUCCUUUUGGGUUAAACAUGAAUUAUCCAUUCAUUCAUCCUCUUAUCUGGAAAGAAGAUGAUUUUCCUGAACAGCUCAAAACGUUAUUAUGGUACUUAACCAAUAAGUAUCUAAUAGCCUUUGAAAUCCCAACCAGAAGAUUCAUUGCUAACCUCACAAGGAUAUUCUUGCUCGGAAGAAACAUUGAAAAAGAAUGCGAUAAGAAUCUUUUAGAAUUUCUAAAUUGGUUCUAUCAUCCUACAUGUUGGAAACAAGACUUGGAAAAAGAACUGAGAACCAUGACACCAGAUCCUGAAGUCCAUACCAUCCUAUUUUUCCGACGCCCUUGGAAUUUUUGCAGAAAUAAUGGUAGUAUUCUUGAUGCACCACUGGAAAUAGGAACUACAUCUUAUAAACCUAACUUGAACAGCCGAGAAUCCCGGAUUUACAAAUCUUAUCCUAGAUCUGUUCGAAUCUGUGAAAGUAAAUAUCGAGAACUCCAGAGAAUCCUAUGCCAGGAAAACAAGACCAUUCCCGAAGAUAUUUGGAAUAAUGCACCCACUACGUGGGAUCAUUAUGAUCUAGCACCAGAAGCUAAGGAAGCACUCGGACAAUACAGACAAGCCUCAUCGUCCCAAGAGCCUGAAAUGACAAGCGAAGAUGACGUUGUCCAAUCCACCCAAGACCCCUAUGCACGCUUUGGAGGAGCUCUGUCCCAGGAUCCCUACGAACAGUUCCAAAGCAUGGACACAUCUUUUUAUGCAGAACCAUCCAACUGGCCUCAGCCAAGAAUUAUUGACCUUCAGCAAGAUGAAGAUACAAACUGGGCUGAAGAAGAAGCAUCACAUUGGGCUCAUGAACAAGCAUCCUCAUCACGAAGGCUGAAUCAAAUUCUCUCACCAGAAGACCUUGAAGCCCUUGAACAGAAAUACGAGGCACAUCUCCUAGAAGAAAACUCGGAUGAUUCAACUUGCGGCUACAAUGCUCGAGACGGACGAGACCGUUGAGUCCGUACAAAUUUACUGUAGCAAAUCACUGUUCACUUUUACUGUAGCACUAGGCUAGGGAAUGUACUGUUCACAGUACAGUUACUGUUCAUAGUGUGCGAAUAAUUCCCUUUCGGUGCCCCUGUUUGUCCCCGGACCCGUGAGCUAGGUCCCUGUGUGUGUCCUUGUCACUUCUUAUUGCCUAUAUAAGGCAAGGAAGGUGUAUUGUUUUGGGCAGAGUCCCCUGAAGUAAAGUGUGUGCUUUGUGAAAAUCUCUCCAUGGCUUUCUAAAUCCCUCUUCUUCUUCUCAAAUCUGGUAGGAUCCUUCAAGAAAGGCAGCUUGGAUAGAUUAGAAAUGAUUCCAUCCUGGCAUCUCUGAGUGUCUCUAGGCUCUGAACUAAAGGGCUGAGUGGUUUUUUGCUAACAGGCUGUCCCUGAAGGGCUAGGUUCGCCCAUGUGGGAUGCAUACCUGCAAAAGAUUUACUCUCCUUCCCUGGUUCUAAGUCUAGGUCCAUUCAUGGUAUCAGAGCCAUGGUCCCAUUUUUAAUAAAUCCAUUCCAUGCGCUUGGCAAGAGAAUCCAGAUCUGAGAAGAUCUCCCCUCAUAAUGUCUGCAGAACCAGAAAUCCUUGAAGCAUCAGUUACCCUGGCACCUCCAGCUUCAUCUUCAAUACCUCCAGAAUUUCGUGUUUCUAAUGCUUCUAAGAUAGACUAUCUCUAUGAAGUCUCUCUUAGCGAUGAAACCAAGAUUUCAGAAACCCAACUCCCCCUCAUGAACCCUUAUUCUGCUUUUGCAAAACCAAACUCAUCAUUCUCACCGAUCCGCUCCAUCCGUCAGCUAAUUCACCAAAGCCCAAAGCAAGUAAAGGAGUACGUCCAGUCCUCCAAAUUCGACCAACAUCCUAUUCCUGCUACUGAAAAGGAAUACUUUGUUACUCUUCAGAUCCCUCCAGAAUUCCCCAGACAAUGGGCUCAACAGGGAUACACUCAUGUCCAUUAUGGAGCUGUUCGUCUUGCUCUCACGUUCCAUGGUCGUAAAGGUCUACCGGUUGUGGCAAGAAUAGCAUUAUUAGACACCGGGUUUUUACAAUACCAGCAUGCUUGCAUUGGUACUGUUCAGACUACUUUGAAUGCAGGAACCGUCUUUGUCACUCUAUACCCCAACUUCAACAUAGCCCUUUCAGAUCCUCAGUUACUUUCUUUUAUGAAAGUCCAACUUCAACUCACUGGAGCCCCUCAAACUGCUGACUCUGUAGCUGCAACAUUACAUUACCAGAUGGUUUACCGAGUGCAAAACCAUACGCUUGAUCUUAAACUCAACAAUGGUAAUGAAGAUGCCUUGUUCAUCUCCAUGCAAAAUGACCAGGCAUCCUGCAUCCAUGUUCCCAGACAGAUUCCAAAGGAGAAGUUAGCCAAGCUUCUUCCAGAAACCUGGAUUACCAACUAUGAGAAGCUACACCAGCACAACAAGCCUAUCCAAUCUACGGACUCAGAGGUCGUAAGGAAAAAAGAUGGAACGGUUUCCAUCAAAUUUAGCAAAGAAAAGGAAGAAAGUCCUUCCAUUUUCCAAACCUUACUCAUGAUUGAACCAUGUGUUCCUCCAUCCAUUUCUGAGCCAGAUCCAAAAAAGCAUGUUCGACACUUUGAUGGUGAUGGACAUUCUUUUAUUAUUUCUUUUGUGUAUAUUUAUAUUUUGACCCUUCAAGUAUUAUAAAUUUUUAAAAUUCACCCCGUGCGUGUCGGAAUCGCGUGUCGGAAUUCUGGACUCGCGUGUCGGAAAGAGUUGACCACGUGUCGGAUUUUUCGACACUCGUUGACCGCGUGUCGGAGCGUGUCGGGACGUGUCGGAGCGUGUCGGACACGUGUCGGAGUGUCGGACACGACACGAAGGCUUUCGGAGAGUGUCCGUGCUACAUAGGUAGUCAGCACUAAGCAUUUGACCCUUGACAUUUCAUUUACUUCCAAAUAUAUAAACACAAAAUCCUUUUCUUCUCUCGAAUAAGUAUAUACUUUAUUUGGUAUUUUAGCACAUGAAGUUAGAAUCAAUGCAAAAUUGCAACAAUCAAGUCAUAACGAUGAAUUAAAUGUUGAUGAUAAGCUUUUAUAGAGGAUGAUAAUGUGAGAUAGUCGAAUAAAACACGUAUUUAGUAGUUAUUGUAGCUCGAAGGCAAUUUUAGUACAAAGAAAUGGUGUAGUGCCUCCCUUGUUUUUAAUUAGCGGAGCAUAAAAUUUGGGAGACUUUUUUAAAAAAAAUAAUAAUUUUGGAUUCUUUGAGGUCAAGCAUAAUCAAAGGGCGCAUUUUUAUUUGUAUUUUUUUUAGUGAUUAUGUAGAUGUUGAAGAUGAUCAGAUGACACACUGAACAACCUGAGCGCAUUGCCAAGAGAUGCAAACGAUCUACAUUAUAGUAACUCAACCUUUUGCCUACUGUCUCUAAUAAUUCAUCCUUUGGUAGUGAAUGUGGAUUUUGACGGUACAAUUCACGUUUGAUGUCAUGUUCCACUGUAGAAAGAACAGGAAAACACGAUACUGUGGCCUUCCAUCACCUAGAAGGUCGACAUUGUCUUCCUUGAAUUUUUCAAAUGUAGUUCCUGUCAUCCUUGCUAAAAUAUUCAUUCACCUCACUAGCAAUCAGCACCGGAGUGCUCGAGGCCUGCCGUUCUUUUUUGGGGCACAUGUGGCCCAAGAGCAUGGGUCCGAAGUGGCACGGCCCAUUGGCCAUCCUAGCUAAAAUCUAUCUGGGCUCAUGCACAGAUAUUCGAACAUUUUCUAUAGUCGAGGACCCUUCACUAAAAAAGAGUGUUGCCCACACCUUCAUACAUAUUUUUGGAGCUCCAAUCCAUCUCAUUCGAACAUCAAAUCAUUCCCAUCUUGCAUUCACUUUAUGUCCCUCCUUUGCUAUUUCCUGUCUUUCACCGAAAGUGUUACCGACGGCCUCGCAGAUAAUUUCGGAACCUCAACCCAUCGGACAUCUGUAAAAUUUCCCAUCUCGUAGUCACUCUGUGUCCUUUCUAUCCUUCACCGAAAAUUGUCGGUGACAGCUUCGUUGACGUUUUAGGACCCUCGACCAAUCUGAUUCGGACAUCUAUCCACAAUUCGCAUCUCCCCAUCCAAUCCGUGUCCUCCCUGUCUUCUAUCCUUCACGGUAAUUCAGACAUCUGUCACGUGUCCCAUCUCGAAACGAGCAAGAGUCCAGAAAAUGCAAUAUGUUAUGGCCCCACUGAGCGUGUCUUUUCAAGGGAAGAAGGAACUCAUUUUGCAAUCCCACCUUUCCCCUCACUUUCCGGAUAAAAAUAUCCUGUGGCCCCCACAGGAAAAUCUUUCUGUACCAUCCUCUUUGUAUUACUUGAAUCUUUAUUUCCCUCACUUCUUUCCCCUCAAUUCCUGAAACCCGCUUCAUUCUACGGAAUGGCUCCAUUCGGUUUUAUAUAUACGGGUCUUGCCCUCAUAAGAAAAAUCAAGGUAGCAAACAUUUGGAGCGGCUCCUUGUCUAUAAACAUCUUUCGCUUGAUGUGAAACUCAAAAUGUAAAAAUUCUCCCACAAAUGUCAAUGUCUUCGUCGACAAUAUGUAUCGACUUGACUAUAAUUGCAUUAGUAGACGUUCCUCAAAGAAACAUUAGAGCUUGUUGUUUUUGUCAUGCCCAUCAAGCUAUACCAAGAAUGAAGAAGUACAGACGAGAUGUUAGAUGGUUUACACAAAGAACAAAAGUGGAUGAACAAGAUGAUGUAUUGAUCAUCAGUAAUGGUGCAUGGAGAUGUUUUACAAAAGAGCCAGAGGUUCUUUUAAUUUCUUUCAUUGAUCAAUAUCUUUUCAUUGUUUACGUUACCUAUUUUUCAAUAUAGAAAUUAAACAUCAUACCUUUUUAACUAGAAAUUUUUGUUAGGCCCUAGUUGAUAGAAUAGCAACUCCUAUUACAACACUAAAACAACUAUGCGUGCAUAAUUACUAUUUGAUUAUAUCGAGUUAUUUAAAUUUUUUGGUCAUACUUAUAAGUAUGUUUUCCUAUCGUUUAAAGCAGUUUUUGUUUUGGGUGAUCGACUGAAUAUGUUUUCUUUUUCUUUUGGUUAGGACGAUUGACCGAAUUAAGAGGUUGGUUUUUUUUAGAAUAUUUUUCGCUCUUAUUCGUAAAACAAUUUCUACGAAUUUGGGACCAAACGUAUAAUCAUGUGUGGCGUUGCACAUAUUAAGUCAAAGCUAGCUGCUACAACAUUUAGACAGAUAGAGAGAGAGAGAGAGAGAGAGAGAGAGAGGAUGGUACGGUGGAGUGGGGUCCCUCGACGUGAUGUUGAAAAAGCAAGAAGCUUUAAUAAUUGCAACACGAUAUGUAUAAAGUUAUAUUGUCCGUAUGCAUCAAGAGGUUGACACAACAUGAACCUUCGAUAAUUGCAACUUGAUCCACGAUGGCCAAAAAACAGCUUAACUCCACCCCGGUUAAACUCUUAACCUCACUUUCUUUUGUCCUCCUCCUCCUCCCCUGCAUUUUAGAGAGAGAGAGAGAAGAGAGAGAGAGAGCAGCAUCAGAGAGCAAUGGUCGUGGACGUGUGUGGUGGGUAAAUGUUAGGGAAGGAGAGAGACACUCAAGGAUUUUGAUUUUAUGGAGAACCGGAAAGAGGGUCAUUGAGUUGUUAACGAGGUAUAAUAAAUCAAUGGAAUGGGGUGUUCUUUAGAACUAUUAAAGUGAGGUUUUGAGAAAUAAAUGACGAGCAUAAUUAGCAAUUUCUAUAGAAAAGAAAAAUAAAAAGGCGGCUUUUAUGGACCUUCAAUUUCUCUCGAUGGAGUUGAAUAUGUAGCUCAAAGUCUAUACAUGUUCACAAAAUUAAUAGAUUAGUGUCUCUUAAAUAUUAAUGGAGUGCCUAUGUAUCCCAUGAAUCUCCAUCAAAUGCAGGGGUCCCUCCAUUUCAUACACAUCUGAUAAUUACUAGAGAUAAACAAUUUAUAUUGAUAUACCUAUAAUAAAUUUACAUUUUAUAUUACAUUCUUUUGAAGAUGGGCAAGUUGACAUGCUUGAUUUUAUCAUCUCAAUUUCUAUUCGAAGUUGGUUUUGGUAGCUUAGGGGCUGCAUGGAAACACUUCUGUUCUUUUUUUGUUCCAGGGAACAAAAAUAAAAAAAAGUGUUUCUGUUCCGGGGAACAGUUUUUGAACAAAAGAAUGCGUUUGGCAACGUUUGUUUCGGGAAUAAAAAAUGAAUAGAAACACGUUUGGUAAAUUUUAUUCUUUUUUUGUUUCUUUUAAUUUUUUAAUAUUUUUAUUUUAUUUUUCCUUUCUUUUUUAUUUUUUCUUCUUUCGGCCGAUCGCCGGCCUCAACGAGACCGGCAGCCUCGCCUAGCCAUGGCGAGGCUCGCCGGCCCCCAGCGAGGCCGAGCGUCGGCGAGGCUGAGCCUCGUCUGGGGCCGGCAACGCUCGGCCUCGCCUUGGCUAGGCGAGCUCAGGCUCGCCUAGAUCCAGCGAAGCCGAGCCUCGCCAUGGCUGGGCGAGCUCGAGCUCGCCUAGAUUCGGCGAGGCCGAGCCUCGCCGGGGGCCGGCGAUGCUCCGGCGAGGUCGCCGACCCUCGACGGCGUCACCGGCCCUCGACGGCCCGUCGCCGGCCAUGGCCGAGGCUGGCGACCGGCCAAAAAAAAAAAGAAGAAGAAAAGAAGAAGAAAAGAGAAGAUAGAGAAAAAGAAGUGUUUCUUCAAAAUCAUUUCUGGAAUAAGAAGUAAGUUUUUUUUGUUUCUUUUUUUUUGUUUCAAUUUUGUUCUGGGAACAAAAAAAACAAAAAAAGAACAGAAACGCAAUCAAACACGUUUCUGUUCUUUUUUUGUUCCCAGGAACAGAAAAACAAAAAAAUUGUUCAGAAACAGAAAUAAGAAGUGUUUUCAUGUAGGCUCUUAACAGUCUAAACUUGGGAGCUGAGCCCCCAUUCCUUUUAUACAUAGUUACUUGAGUGUCAUAAUUUUUUGUUGAUUAAUUUGGUGUCAUGAAUUUAAAAAAAAAAAAUCAUUUAAGUGACCUAACUUCGAAUAAGUGUCACGACUUUCAAUUGAUCAUUUAAAUACUACAACUCCCACCACAAGUGUCAUAAUACGUGGCACUUUUGGGGAACGUUUUCAAAAAGAUUAUAGCACUAAAGUGAAUAUUUUUUAGAAGUUUUAUAGCAUUUAAGUUAUAAAAAAAAGUGAUGAUGCUAUAAUUAUUCAAAGUUAGCCUUAUAUAACUAGGGCAUUACAGACGUUAACAUGCUAUGAUAAUACAAUCACGCAAGCACUGCUGCACUGCAAGAUGCAAUUGCAUGAAAAUGAUACAAACUUUUACCGAAAAAAAUGAGACGAGAAAAGCAUUUUAGUCAAAACUGGUGAUCUUCACAUGGUACAACAGUAGAAAGUAUUAUUGCAAUGAGCGGACUCUAAUAUUGUCCAACUUUAUUAAAGCCGAUACUUAAAAGAGCUCAUGAAGUGAUUGAAAUUGGAGUGCAUCAUCUGAAUCGGAUUUUGGACUUAUAAAGAUGAGGACCUCGGGGCUGUUGACAGCCAGAGCUGAGCACGUAUGAAAUGAUUGAUGGACGGUGAUAGUGAUAGAUAGCUGGAUAAUUCCCGCAUUUCACAAGUGGUGGGGUCCGAAGGCGAUUUUAGUUCCAAAAGAAAUGGUGGAGUGGGUUUUUUAGAUCCGUUAAAUUGAGGUUCUCAGAAAUAAAUAAUAAUUAUGCUUAUUAAUUUUUAUAAAAUUAAAUGAAAAGGCGUCUUUCGUGAUCCUUCAGUAUUCCAAUGGAGUCAUGUGCAUAGCUCAAUGCAUAUUUAUAAGAUUAAUAGAUAGGUGUCUUUUAAAUAUCAAUAGAGUGUCUAGAAUUCUUUUAACACUAAUAAUCCUCAUCAAGUAUGACGGUCUUUUUGUCCCACACACAUCAAUGAUCAUCGGAGAUACAUGUCUAUGCUCCCAAAGGUGGCCCUAAGUAAAUGCACAAAUUUGGUGAUUCAUUCACAAUUACCAUUUGAGCAACCUCUUAAAUUUAAAAGAUAGGAGCCGCUUAGUUUUCUUGAAAGAAAGCUGACAUAAUUUAAAGUGAAAACUGUUAAUUUUUCCUUAUAAAAAAUUAUUGAUUUUGUAAAUGAUAUAUAUCAUUGUGAUCAUGGAUUUAUAUCACAUUCUUUUGAUAAUAUUUUAGUUGCCACCCUUGAUUUUUUAAUCUCAAUUUAUAUUCGAAGUCGAUUUUGGUAGCUUAAUGUUCUAAACUUGGGAGCUCAGCCCCACUUUUUUUUUUUUAAACUCAUGGGAAAGGUUUUGAAAAUAUUUCUUCUACACUAGAAAUAUGUCGUUAAAGUUUAUAUUCAAAUGAUGACGUGUGAUGAAUCAAAAUCUAAUUAUAAAAGUUAUGGGUCACGAGGUUCAAAGGUCUUGGAGUUGAUGGUCACUGCAUAAUUAGCUUAAAUAUUAAGAUUUAUAUGGAAAUUGAGUGCAACUGUUGUGGAUCUUAUCUUUCCCGGAGAGGUGUAAGUUGGAGGAACAUUUCUCACCUUGGCAGCACCAUUCUAGUUUGUCGACAUCAAAAUUUCAUGUUGUCGCGGUACUGCCACAUAUUUCAAACAAAUUUGAAAACUUGUCAGCUCUCAUUAUCGAUGAAUGCUCGGCACUUUCCUGUUUUGAAAGGCUUGGUGAAGUUGAGGAAACUACGAAUUACUAGGUGCAAAUGCCUCAUAAGGACACUAAAUCUGUUGGGCUACAAUCCUUGGAGCCUCUCAAUUAGAAAGACUUGUUGAGAUUCAAGGUUUGCGGGCAUCGAGAUCUUUGUUGCACCUAACAGUUUCCUACUGCGAUUCAAUUGAAAGAUCACCUAAGCUAUGCAAGCUGAAGAAGCUUAGGUAUGUUGAACUGAGGGGUUAUGCUAAGCCAAGAGCCAUGGACAGCCGCAGUAGCCUAGGGUCUUCUUGCAAACCAAAGGUUGUAGAUCUCUCGAAAUGUGCCACCCAUGUUGUCGAGAUCGACCAAAAGAGAGACGGAUUAGAUGUCUCUUUAUGAAGAUUGAUUCCUCAUGAGGGACCUCAUCAGUUUGAUGGUUGAUUAUAUUUGAACAUUUAUAAUCAAGCAAGUUUUAUUCAUGGUAUGAACAGAAAGUAUCAGAAGCAGAAGUACAAUAUGGUUAAUGUGUAUGCAACUUAGUGGAAGAGAUUCAUCUAUAGACUUAUCUAUCAAUUCUUGGGAUUAAUAUUUGACAACAUGCUUGUCCUUGAAUUAAAUUAGUGAUCGAUGGUAAGAAAAUUAGGCACCGGUUCUUUGGCGGUGGUUGUUGUUGUUCAUGUUGUCGUCGUCAUUGUUAAUAAUGGGGAUAAUUAAUCAAAAAGUCCAACACCUAUUGUAUGAUGGUCAGUUCAGUCCUAAACAUUUCCUUUAUGUCUAUUUAGUCUAAAAUCUUUUAAUGAUUUCUCAGUGUAGUCAUCUCAGUCAAUUUUAAUUGGAAAUCAAUGACGUGAAUGUCUAACGUCCGACAUAGUCAAUUUUCUAAUAUUUUAUCAAUCUUUUAAAUUGUCUAUGCGUAGAACCAACGUCAAAAUAGGUAAAAAGAAAGAUAUUCUCCUAUUAUGUAGGACGCUGAGCCUAAUGAUUUUAAGCUUCAAACCGAACUCUAUAGAAAUGACUUGACUCGGGAUGAGAUAUAAUUUGGUUCUGAUGAACCGAAGCAGUGGAAAGUGGCCCCAAUCGAGGUGGCCUGUAUAGUGUUAAUUGAUAUUGACUGUUGAGCCACAAGAUUUAAGCUUACUGCAAUAUGGCCUCUUAGUUACCAACUUACCACAUGUCGUAUCCCGGUUCCCUAGUUUCCAGAAAUCUACGAAUAUUUAGUUGAGUGGAUGUCACCCUGUUUUGCAAAACAACGAUCACAUAUUAUAGACAACUCUAGUUAUGAUAACAAGUUAAUUAGCCGAGCAACUUAUUGCACGUUUUAUCCAGCCUUCUAAGGUCACGUGAAGAACCAAUCCCCCGUUGUAUCUUAUCGAGCCCAAAUUCAGUGUCAUGAUUUCUGCACAAUUGCCAUACCGCACAAACAAUUACAAAUUUUCAAUAAUGGUUGUUUGUAUGGUAUGACAAUUUAUGUAGGAGUGAGGGGAAAUUUGGGUUCAAUAACGGAAAAAACUUAUAGAUAAAAUAAUCAGAUUCUUCUAAGAGUGGGUAGAGCUUAAUAUUACCCGACCACAAUACUCGAAGCAGUGUGCAAAAUUGCACUGCACCACAUGUACAGGAGUUAUUAUUGCACAUUGACGUUCCAUAGUUUAAGUUCAAAUACCAUAUUUUCUUGGAAGUUGUAUUAAAAUGUUAUUUUAUAGUUCUUCAUUUGACUUGUUUUGGCAAUUCUUCUCAACAGACAGACGCGGGGAACUCUAUCAAAUUGAUCGUUCGUGAGUUUCCGGUUAAGCUGAAGGUCAAACAUAAGUUCAUGACUGAUCAUUUGGUCAUAUUGAAUGAUCAAGAAGAAGGCAUAAUGAAGACAUCGCUUUGUUGUAAUAUAUAGCAUUGGUGGCAAUUGCAAGAUGAUUUUGGUGGUCCUAUCAUUAUCUGCUAGCUUUAACUCUUGUGCAACUUGAAGAGUGCAGUUGGCCAUUGAAUAGUGCAUAUCUUGAUUCAAAUGCUUUCCAAUUCUAAUAGAAGUUAAUUGAGAUAAGAAUAUAACAAUCGAUGUAACUUUUGUACGGCAAUUAUUCGAAUGUCAUGAUUUUUUUAUUAAUUGAGUAUCACGACUUUUAAAAAUAAUAUUCACUUGAGUGACCUAAUUUUUUAAUUUUUUUUUUAUCUAAGUAUCAUAAUUUUUAAUUGGUUAUUUAAAUUCUAUAACUCCCAUACCACAAGUGCCAUGACAGGUAGUAGGCAGCACUUGUGGGGAAUGGUUGGACAGAACCCGAAUUUUGCAUUUCAAAUCUAAACAGGGAACUCAUUUUGCAUUUCCCUCCUUUCCUCCCACUUUUGGCGGAAGAAUAUCUUUUGCAACGUGACCCACGAUGCAUCGAACUCGUACUGCCCAACUGCAGCAUGAAUGAGAUUGACAUAACAUGAAGCUAUAAUAAUUGUCAAGUGAUCGACGAUGGCCUAAAAGCAAACUUAACUACACCUGGUUAAUUCUUAUCCUCAUUUUGUUCUGUCUUCAUCCUCCUGCGCGUUUUAUAGAGAGAGAGAGAGAGAGAGAGAGAGAGAGAGAGAGGGGGCAGCAUCAGAGCAACGAUGAUGGACGAGUUAGGGAGGGGAAGACACGUAAGGUCUUGGAAUUUGGCAAUGAGAAGCGUCGGCCUGUGAAUUGUUACGUUACUUAUUUUUUUGCAGAGAAUUUGAAAGAACGUCGUUACGUGCAGGUUAUUGGCAAAGAGAGAUUAGACAGAGAGAUCCAUAUAAUCCAUGAAAGAGGCUGACAUUAUCAAGUGCAUGCAACACUGAUAUGGAAUUAACGAUCCCUUAACAUAAACACAUAAUUACAAACAAAUACACUUCGUAUUCUUUGGAUCCAUUGACGAGAUGUGAUCAAUCAAACAAAAUUGGAUUUUUUUAGAACUAUUGAAGUGUGGUUUUGAGAAAUAAAUUAUGAUUAUAAUUUGUAACUUAAUUUGUAACUUCUACACAAAAAAUGAAAAAGUCAUCUCCCAUGAACCUUCAAUUUCUCUUGAUGGAGUUGUGCAUGUAAGUCAUAACCUAUGCAUAUUCCAUUAAUUAAAUUAGAUUAAGAAAUAAAAAAGGGAACUUGUGAUGACAUUUUUCCGAAGUUAGCCUUAGGCCAUUGCAGACUUAUUGCAUGCAAGAUGCUUUUACAAGGAAAAUAAUACAAUCUCUUGAUAAGAAAAGCAUCUUGGCCAACGCUGGUGGUGGCCAUAUAGUACAACAGGAGAAAGCAUUAUUGCACUAAGUGGACUCCAUUAUUGUCCAACUUUAUUAAAGCUAAUGCUUAAAGAGCUCGUGAAGUGACUGAAAUUGGAGAGCAAUUUUCUGAAUCGAAAUUUGGACCGUGGCUGCUGCUGAUUUGCUAGAGCCAAGCAUUGCUCUCGUAAUUUUUAGCUGGCACGGCCUGAAGUCAAUUUCAGUACCAAGGAAACGGUGGAGUGGACCCUUUGUUUUCAAUCAAGCGCGCUCACAUGGAUACAUAUGUUCUUUUGGAAAUUCCAUAGAUGUUGUGUAAAGAUGAUAGGACCAUAUGCUGAAAUAUGAAUGUGAAUACAUCAUAGAGAUACGACUUAAAAAAGAUAUAACUAGAAUCAAGUUAUUCAUUUAUUAGGAUAUUCAAGUGAUUGACAUAUAUAUGGUUCUCAAUUUUUUAUUAUUAUUUACAGACACACAUAUAUUAUCCUUUAGAUUUGUAUUAGUGGUUAACGAUCACGUGUCAAGAUAUGACGGAUUUUGCACUUCAAUCUCGGCUUCUCCUACUUAGAACAACUUUAGAGGCGACGCUGUCUUCUGGUAGAUGAAACCUUACGCGAUACAUGUAAGCACAGGCAGCUUGCAUGCAUCAACAAAAGUACGAAACAAAGCCAAGGUUCGUCGAGUCCAUGCAAAAAAAUACGGGUAAGGUAAGAGUUGCCAAGUUUCUGAUGAAAGAUAACAUCACAUGGACCAAAGAUCACGGGAGCCUCAAUAACAAGUACUGCGAUUUUCACAAGUAUGAGAGGGAAGUUGGGACCAAAUAUGGCUGUGCACAUAUUAUGUCGAAGCUAGACGAGACAACGUUUGGAUGGAGAGAGAGAGAGGGAGGGAGGGAGAGAGGGAGAGAGGAUGGUACGGGGGAGUUGGGCCCCUCAGCGUGAGGUUGAAAAAGCAAGGAGCUUUAAUAAUUGCAACAAGAUCCACAAUGCAUGAAGUCAUAUUGCCUAUAUGGAUCAUGACAUUGGCAUGACACGAAGCUUCAAUAAUUGCAACGUGAUCCACGAUGGUCAAAAAGCAACUAACUCCACCCUAGUUAAACUCUUACCCUCGCUUUGUUUUGUCCUCCUCUUCUACGUUUUAGAGAGAGAGAGAGAGAGAGAGAGAGAGUAGCGACAGCAGCAUCGGCCCAACAAUUGUGGACGUGCAUGGUCGGUACUUGCUAGAGAAGGAGAGAGACACAAGGAUUUGGAGUUUGCAGAGGAUCAGAAAGAGGGUCAUUAAAUUGCUAAGGAGGUGCGGUCAAUCAAUGCUAUUAAAGUGAGGUUUUGAAAAAUAAAUUAUGAGCAUGAUUAGUAAUUUCUAUACAAAAAAAAAAUGAAAAGCCGGCUUUCAUGGACCUCCAAUUUCUCUUUAAUAGAGUUGUGUAUAUAGAUCAAAGUCUACGUAUAUUCACAAGAUUAAUAGAUAGGUUUCUUGAGCAUCUGAAUCUCUAUCAAAUGGGUGGUCCAUUCAUUUCAUGCACAUCAAAUAAUUACUAGAGAUAAAUAGUUUUUCUUUUUAAAUGGGCAAGUUGCCACACUUGAUUUUUUUUCAUCUUAGUUUCUAUUUGAAGUUGGUUUUGGCUACUUAACGGUCUAAACUUGGUCGUUGAGCCCCUGUCUUUUUUUUUUUUUUAAUUCCUUGGAAGGUUUGGUGACUAUUUCUUCUAUAUUAGAAAUUAUUAUUUAUUUAAAUUCUAACCUUAAUCUCACAUUAUUCAUGUUUAUUCAUUUGGAAAAAAAUAAUAAUUAAGAUGUUGGGAAUGAGAAACUAGUUUCAUUAAAAUUUACAUUCAAAUAAUGAGGCAUAGUCAAUUAAAAUCUAACCGUAAAAUUUUGGUUCAUCGGCUUGGAAGAAUUUGUCGUUGAUGGUCAUAGCAUAAUCAGCUUAAGAUUGAUAGGGAAAUUGAGCACGACUCUGAUGGAUCUUAUCUUUAUUACAUUUCGUCAAAUAAAUUGGGCGUUAUCGGAGAUGCAACACCUAUCUCCUGCACAAUUGAUGUGGGGGGCUGAACAUUUUCAUAAUACUUUCCACACGUCAAUUGUCGUACAGAGCAUCUAAGCAAAAGCAAAGAUAGAUGGGAUGGUUCGGUGGAGUUGGGCAGUAGCCUUCACGUGCAUAAAGUCGUACUUCCCAUGCGCACCACCAGGUUGAAUAACACAAGCUUUAAUAAUUGCCAAGCGAGCGACGGUGGCCGAACAACAAACUUUAACUCCACCCUGGUUAACUCUUAACAUCACUUCGUUCGAUCUUCCUCCUCCUUUGGUGUUUUAGAUAGAUAGAGAGAGAGAGAGAGAGAGAGAGAGAGAGCAGCAUUAGAGCAACCAUGGUGGACGUGUUGUUGGCACGUGUUAGGGAGGGAGAUGCACGUACGGAUUUGGAAUUUGCAAUGAGAAGCGUGAAUGAUUUCAUUAUUUUUGCAGAGAAUCGAAAAGAUGGUCACUACGGGGAGGUUAUUAGCAGAGAGAGGUCACAGAGGAGGUGGUCAAGCUCGACCAUUGAUUAGAAUGAGAUCCUUAUAAUCCCUGAAAUAAGCUCACCUUAUCAUGUCCAUGCUAUGCUAAAAUGGAGUCAAUGAUCCCCUUAACAUGCAUAUUUACAUACAAACACACUUUUUAUUAACUAGUACAGUUAAUAAGGUGUAAUUAAUCAAUGAAAUUGGAUUUUUUUAGAAUUGUCAAAGUGAGGUUCUCAAAAAUAAUUGAUUAUGCUUAUUAAUCUUUAUAAAAUUAAGACUCAAUUCAUUUCUCAAAAAAUUCAUUUCUCGGAAAAUAAAUCGAUUGAGGAAAACAUUUCCCUUAAGGGAAAAAAACUUCUAAAAUAAGGGAUUGUCUUCACUCACUCUCUUUUAUCUCACGCUCUUACUAGUCCUCACUUCCUUCUUUUCAUUUCUUUUAAAUUCGAUUUUUUGUUUCGCUUUUCCUCUUUCUUGACUGGUGCAGGGCCCUGGGGCCUCGGAGCUACUGAUAAUUGAUGGACGGCGAUGGUGGCAGAUAGCUUGGACAAUUCUCGCAUUCCGCAAGAUGUGGGGUCUGAUGGUAAUUUUAGUCCAAAUAGAAAUGGUGGAGUGGGGCCCACUUGUUUUAACUCAGCAUCCUUAAGGUCAAGCAAUGGAAGACGCAAGGGGCAUCUUAGGGAACAUCAAUCUGGUAACGCCACAUGUAUGUAUUAACGCUCCGUGCCCCUCUCUCCGACCACCAUUGCAUCGUCUAAAUGAUUUCUUCCUCGCUCUAGAAGCCCUCUCUUUCACCUGAUCUUCUGCGGCUGUUCUUUUUGUUUGAACCGCCGCGUGUGCACCGUAUUGAAUCCUUCCUCUUCUUCAGUCAUUGUCGUUUCCGGGUUCCAUCAGUUUCGCCUUCCUCGGAAUAUAUAAAUUCUUAACUCUCGUUUCUCCGCAAAGAAGAAGGAAAGAAAGCCAGAACGGUAGAAGAAGUCGAAAAGUGGGGAAAAUUGUUAGGGAAAUCCCUAUGAUGUUUUGAAGAUGACAAAAUAAAUCAAAGGCUACUAACAUGUUUGAUGGUUGAGUAAUAGACCAUACAGAUGAUAGAACAUGUAAAGGUUAUUGUCAAAGUGUGAAGACGACCAGAAGACUGAACGUAACUCAUGUCCAAAGUAUAUUAUGAAGAUUUCCAGACUUUUGUGUCAAAGUCUAAAGAUUGCUAGACUCAAGACUCAAAGUCUGAACACUGCCAGACUUUAGUGUCAAAGUAUGUUCUACAUCAGAAGUCUGUCAACUCUGACUAAUUCCAGACUGAACGUGAAUGCUGAACCAGAAGAUAGACUCUAUGCUGAAGCUGAACUGGGUACAGACCUUAAAGCUAAAUCUGUUCAGAAGCAGAAUAUGUUCAGACUCAGAUUGCAAAGUUUAUCGCACUCAGACUCAGAUUGUAAAGUCUAUGGCUAUCAGACUUUACAUCCAGAUUUGACAGAACGUAACUCAAGCCCAAUCAUAUAACGGCUAGUGAUCUGGUUUGGAUUCUACAUCAAGAUUGAUUUGAUUGACUCAAUCUAUUUGAUUGACAAUUGGAUGUUGAAGACAAGAUCUUUCUAUACGAAGAAGCUUUACUUAUGGAAACCAAGAUUUUGUUUGUAUGGGCGAUCGGAAUCAAUUUGGGAUUUUACCUUUGUCACUCAACGGCUACCAAAUCUUCUAGAUACAGAGCUGUCCAAUGGGUAUAUUGGAAGACGAUUCUCCGGGAUACUGUCCAACGGGUAGUUUGGAAGUGGAGGAGUAUUUAAGGAGAUCAUGGACUGAUGAGCAAGUAAGAGACGGAGCGUAGAAUUUAUAAUUCCAAAGUCUGAGCGAUCUUCACUUGUCUCUUGAGAGCUUAAACGUUUGUAAUCGUGAGAGAAAUACCAAGAGAGUGACUUAGUGAGAUAGUGUAAUCUACUACUAAGUGUUUGCACUCGAAGUUGUAACCUCUUGUUGAUUGCAUAUUGGAAUCCAGUCAAGAAGGCUGUUAUCGUGGGAGAGUGGACGUAGGCUUGGAUUAAGCCGAACCACUAUAAAUCUUGUGUUCUUAUUCUCUUCCCUAACUCCUUUAUUUUGUUUAUACUAGCACUCUAAAAAAUGGCGGAUAUUGUUGUGUCUGUAGCUUGCGAAGUGGCAAAGUGCCUAGUGGCUCUGAUCGGUCGGCACUGCGGCUACGUAAUGUCCUCCGACCGCUACGUUCGCCAGCUUAAUGAUGAAGUCAAGAACCUAGGUUACACGAGGGAUGAGGUGCAGCAUUCCAUCGAUGAAGCUUGAAACAACAUGAAGCCGAUCAAACCCAAGGUCGAGAGAUGGGUGAACGACGUGGAGACCGUCGCUAAUGAGGCGCGUGACGUGCUGGAUUACGACGGAAGAGCUAAGAAAACUUGCUUCUAUGGGUGGCUUCCCAACCCAAAGGCGCGAUAUCAUCUCGGCAAAAAGGCGAGCAGGACGGUCAAGGACAUCCAGGCACUUAUUGCAGGGGGUCAAUUCGAGAAGGUUGACUUCGAGAAUCCUCCGCCAGGGCUUGUUGGCGGUGCUUCCGACGUGAAUUUGUCGGCCGGUGAUGGGGGCGACUUUAUCACUGAUUCGCGAGCUUCCAUCUUUCAGGGCAUAAUGAAAGCUCUGAAUGAUGAGAAGGCGAAAGUGGUUGGGGUCUAUGGGCCUGGUGGCGUGGGGAAGACUACGCUGUUGGAGAUAGUCGAGAAGAAACUCAGGAAAGAGGGGAGACCGUUCCGCAUGAUCGUCAAAGCGGAAGUCUCGCAGACUCCGGAUUUAAUUGAUAUUCAAGGCCAGAUUGCUGACACCUUGAGUCUGAAUCUGAAGGUCAAGGAAACCCGACAGGGAAGAAGUGAUAUUCUGUUUCAGAGAUUGCAGAGGGAUCCAAAUGAGAAGGUUCUCAUAAUAUUGGACGACCUAUGGGAGGAACUUGAUUUGAAAGCUGUCGGAAUUCCUUCAGGAGACACAAGCGGAAAAUGCAAAUUGUUGCUUACAUCGAGAUUUAAGGAUGUGCUGGAGCAGAAGAUGCUUUCCGAUCGAACAUUUUUUCUUGAAGGCUUAAACGACGAUGAAGCUUUCAAGCUAUUUGAAACGACAAUUGGCGACAGGCUCAAAGACAAAAAUGAAUUGAAAGUAAUAGCCGCUCAAGUGGUGAAGAAGCUUGCAGGUUUGCCUCUUUUAAUUAUCUCCGUCGCGAGCACCUUGAAAAAUAGCAGCGUGUCUGCAUGGAGAAACGCUUUGACAAAAAUAGAUGUAAAAAAAAUGGAAACCAUAGUGCAGUUGAGUUACCACCAUUUGGAGAGCGAGGAUGCUAGGUCUUUAUUCUUGCUCUGUGGUCUUAUCGGCGGGACCAUUCCGGUUGAACUUCUACUUGUACUAGGCAUGGGGUUGGGCUUGUUUGAGGGAUACAAUAACACGAUACAAAUUUCAAGGGAUAGAUUGAACACUACACUUGAAAGCCUCCAUUCCAUUUGUUUGUUGCAAGAUGGCGGCGAUGACAAGGAAAAUGUGAUCAUACAUGAUCUUUAUAGCGAGGUGGUUGUCUCAACUCCAUUUGGAGGUCAGAAUUCUUUAAUGAUGAACGGCAAUUAUGGCUUAUGGUCAAAGGAAAAGCUUGAGAAAUGUUGGGCUAUAUGCCUAGCUGAUGUUCACAAAAAGAGGCUUGAUGAACUAAUGAAGUGUCAAUUUCUUGACUUGAAGAUACUCAUGUUGUCUCGUCUAAAAGACUGGCGUUGGGCACGAGAAGACUCACACUGGCGUUGGGUGCGAGACUCAGACAAAGAUGAAUUGGUAGAGUGCUUGAGACUACUAGAUUUCACGUCCAUGAAGGGGCUCCAUGUCCUAUAUUUUUGCUCCAUGCAUAUCACCAGUUUACCUCCCUCGAUUGGAAUCCUCGGGAACCUCCGCUCUUUAUUCUUAGACGAUUGCAAUGUGGAUGAUGCGGCAAUUCUUGGCAAGCUCAAAGCAUUGCAGAUUCUUAGCUUCGCACGAUCCACCAUUUCUAGGUUGCCUAAAGGAAUCGGGGAACUUACAAAUCUAAGAUCGUUGAAUCUAAGUGAAUGCAAAAAGCUUAGAACAAUUGAGCCUGGUGUCCUAAAAGGCUUAACCAACUUGGAAGAGUUAUAUAUUUACAGCUUUUCUCAAUGGAUGGGUAAGGAUCAAAUACCAUCAAAAUCAUGUAAUGCUAGGCUUGCUGAGUUGAAUAGCUUAACAAAGCUAUCCUCUCUGGAAAUAAUGAUCCCUGAUCCAACUAUGCUCUUGGAGGAUGAUGACCUGCCAUUUGGGAACCUGGAUAGAUUUCUGAUCAACAUAGGACUUGUGGAGUGGGUGUAGGAAUUUAAAGAUUUGAGAGUCAUGAAACUCAAAUUGAAAGGUUGUGAGAGUAUUCUUUCAAAAGAAUGGGUUCAAAAAACUCUACAGAAGACUCAAUGCUUACAUUUACAUGAGUUGAGAGAGGUCAAAAAGAGCGCUCACGAAUUGUGCACCCAAGGAUUCAAAGAAGUGAAGUACAUCAAGAUUGAACGCAGCCCCUUAAUCAAGUACAUUGCCAAUUCAUCCGACGGCCUCCCACUCACUGCUUUUACAACAUUAGAGUCUUUGAUCCUUGUAGAACUUAUUAAGUUGGAGAAGAUAUGCCAUGGCCCCGUCGCACCAGAGUCCUUUAGCAAAUUGAGAGCCAUUAGGGUCAAAGAUUGCCACCCAUUGAAAUACUUGUGGUCUCUUUCAGAUACGCAAAGACUUGUACAGCUGAAAGAAAUUGACGUGUGGGAAUGUAAGUCAAUGCAAUCCAUUGUCGCACAUGAUGCAGGAGAGGGUAUAGUUUCUACUGAUGACAGAGUUGAGUUGCCUAAUAUAUGUCAUCUGAGCUUGAGUGAGUUACCAAAUAUGAUGAGCUUUUGUGCAAAGUUGAAAUCACAUCAGAGGAUACUCCAAUCCAGGUAAUUUUUAUUUUCAUUUUUUCAUUUUUUCCCUUUGUCAAUUUGUCCUGUUAGGAUGAGAUGAUAUUGGUGUUCACUCAACGUCAGUACAUAUUGCAUUUAACUUUGACUACUUGUACAAUUUGAUUCAUGUUUGAUUUACAGAUAAAAAAAAUCCUCUCAAAUAGAACACAGGCCAUAUUAAAGGGAAGCCUCUUUCCACGACUGAUUUUUAAAUAUAUAUAUAUAUAUAUAUAUAUAUAUAUAUAUAUUUUAAAAAUUGACAUUAGAAAAUUGCACUACUUACUUGGGUUCCUACUGUGACUAAUUUUUUACUUAUUUAACAUUCUUAAUGAGAUGAAAAAAAUAGUGUCCUGAACGAAUGAAAGCGACAAUGAAUCUUGGAUGAAUAAAUAAAAUUCAACAAUUUGAAAAUAAAGAAAGCGACGUCCAUAAAUUUAAUAAAUGGAUGGAGUCACGUAACAAAGAAAGUCCCCAUAAUUCAUGUCCCGUCUAACAUACAAUUUGCAAUUGAUUCCAACAUAUCAUGCAAAGUUAGUUGCCAAUGUCACUAUGUCAACAUCACUGUGCAGUUGAGCUGCAUUAACAGCAUGAUAGCGGUGAGGAUAUCCUCAUGAAAAUGAUUUCGCUUUUCAUGGAAGAGGGUUUUUUUUUUUUUUUCUGUAUUUUAGCCCCGGAGUUCCACUUAUUUUCUCAUGAAAAUAGCUUUACUUGUAACAGACUCACCUUUAAUGAGUUGCAUCGUGACACUUCGUUAGGUUUCAUUGCCUCACUUGGAAUCCCUGAAAAUGAAUGGACUCCUUGGCAUAGAAAAGAUGCUCUACAAUGAACCUUCGUUAAAAUAUAGCAAUUUAAGAUCACUAGUGAUAAACAAGUCUAAAUCCAUGUUGAAGAGUAUUCUGAGCUCUCCAUUGAAGCUGCCGAAUUUGGAAUCAAUGGACACUGUGAGCUCUCCAUCAAUAGAAGUAGUUUUCGACUUGGAGGAGCUAGAGGUUAGAGGAGAUGUUGAGAUCCUAUCUUAGCUAACUGCAUUGACAUUAAAACAAUUAUCAAACUUGCAGUGCAUGUGGAAACGGGAUGUGAAAUUACAAGUAAUAUCGAUACUUCGUAACCUAAGGAAGCUCUAUGUCUAUGAAAUGGGGCUAUCAUCUCUCUUUUCGAUAUCUGUGGCUAAAUGUUUCAGGGAAAUUAGAGACAUUAUAGUGUCGAACUGUCCAAAUAUAAAGGCGGUGAUUGUGGAUGAAGGAAGAAAUGAAGGGACAUAUGAUAUUAUAGAGUUCCCACUACUGGAGUGUCUAUCUAUUAAGGGAUGUCCCAUGGAGAAAUUCUUAUCAUAUCCUUGUGGAAAGAAAGAGCCAGUAAUCAUUUACUGCUUCAGAUCCACAAAACUCCAAUUCCUUCUUUGAUCGAAAGAUACAAAUCCCUUCUCUUGAGGUUAUACCUAUACUACACAUUUUUAUUCACAUUCAACUAUAGGUCGAGGGAAGCCUCUUUCUACGACUACUUUUUUAUUUCUAUUAUUUUUUCAAUUUUAAAUAAUUUCACUAAUUAAUUGGGCUCAAGGGUUUCUAAUAUGACUAAUUUAUUACUCGUAUAACAUUUCUAAUGAGUAGAAGAAGCAGUGUAUUGAACAAAUGAACCUUCAAAGAAUGAACGUUUUAAAAUAAUUUCAAAAUGAAUAAAGCAACCUCUAGAGAUUAAAUAAACAGAAGGUGAACGAAGAGCCACGUAACAAAGGAAGUCCACACAAUUCACGUCCCAACUUCAUGCAAGUUGGAACUGAUUCCAACACAUCAUGCCAACAUUACCGUGUCAACGUCAGCUAUUUUGGGGAUAUUUUGGGGACAUUUCCUUCUCCACUUUUUCAGGCUCGACGAAAGAUCUCAAGUUUUCAUUCUCCAUUCAAUUGAGUUUUAAAUAUUUUAUAUUGAUCGAUUAAGUUUUUGAGGUUUUUAAAAGCAAUAAUCCCAUUCGUACACUAUGGGUCCAUUCAUAUUCUUUCAGGCAAGGGUUGUGGAUGGAGGAGGAGGAGAUGAAGGGACAGAGUCAGUAAUCACUACUUCAGAUUUACAGAAUACUUAUUUAGAUUCCUUCUUCGAUGAUAAGGUAAACAUCCCUUCUCUUGAGAUUUUACCCAUAAUAGCCAUAGACACUCGGUAUGCUAGGGCGGGUAACAAUAUCCCUCUGAAGAUUCUUAUUUGGUUUGUUUGUUAAAAUGUGUUCCCAAUUUAUAACUAUGUUUGUUGGUGAAUAUUAAUUCUUCCACUGCAUUAGAUUGGUGGUUAGGAUUAGGCCAAAUUAUCAAAUAUUUCACAUUCGUAAUCCGACGCAUAACUCUUAUGAGCAGAUCAGUUUACCAAACUUGGAGGACUUAAAGCUUAACUCGGUGGGAUCCUUCAAAAGGAUAUGGCACGAUGAACUUUCCAGAAGUUCCUUUUGCAAAUUGGUCAAAAUCACCAUUAGAAAUUGCUCCGACCUACUCCACAUCUUCCCUUCGACAAUCAUAGGGAGAUUGCACAACCUGCAAAGUAUCGAGGUUAAAAACUAUCCAUCCUUGAAAUCGUUGUUCGAUUUUGGGUUCCUAAAUUCAUACAUAGUACGAAACACGGUAUUGCUCCAUGAAUUGGUAAGGAUCGACGUUGAAAGUUGUCCCUCCCUAGAAUCAUUGUUUAAUUGUGGGUCCCUUAAUUCAAAUGCGGAGCACAAAAUUAUAUUGCUCCCCAAAUUGGAGGAAGUGAGGGUGAGUGGAGCAAAAAAGCUGAGACACGUGAUCAUGACCCACUCCCAAAUGGUUUUGAAAUUUCCCAGUCUUAGAACUGUUAGUGUUGAGAAUUGCUCCCACCUGGGAUAUCUCUUCCCUAAUUAUAUGGCUACAACUUUGGAGAAGCUUAAGAGGCUAGAAAUUGGUCAAUGUGAACGGAUGAAACAAGUGAUUCUCGAGGAAGAAGUUGGUCGAUCAGAGGCAGAAGUGAUGAGUUUCCCUUGCUUAAGUAAAUUAACACUUAAGGAGCUCAAUAACUUGAUUAGUUUCGGUUCAGGAAGUGUCGAGAGGCAGUUAGGCGAGACAGCCGAAGAAAAUGAUGAAUCGCAACAACCGCUGUUCAAUGAGAUGGUUCGUUCUAUUCUUUAUUGUGAUCAUUCGUAUUAUCGCAUUAUCAUGUUUUAUAAUGAAGAAUGUAAUAAAUUUGUCCAACUUAUCCUCCUUUCUCACAUUAUCCUUGUGCAGUUUACAUUUCCAAAUAUGAGAUAUCUAGAAGUUGAAGGCGUUCCAUGCAAAGAGCUAUGGAACAAUCAUGUUCCUGCCGAUUCCAUUGUUUGUUCCCAUAGAUUCCUUUCAAAAAGUGUGAAGGUUAAAAACUGUCCAUCCUUGAUAUCGUUGUUUCAUUUUGGAUCCCUAGAUUCAAAUACGAAACAAAAUGCGGUAUUGCUCCCUGAAUUGGUAAGGAUCAAUGUUGAAAGCUGUCCCUCCCUAGAAUCGUUUUUUUAAUUAUGGGUCCCUUAAUUCAAAUGCGGAGCACAAAAUUAUAUUGCUCCCCAAAUUGGAGGAAGUAAGGGUGAGUGGAGCAAAAAAGCUGAGACACGUGGUCAUGAGCCACUCCCAAAUGGUUUUGAAAUUUCCUAGUCUUAGAAAUGUCUGUGUUGAGAAUUGCUCUGACUUGAGAUAUCUCUUACCCAAAUAUACGGCCACAACUCUAACGAAACUUGAGUGGCUAACAAUUAGUAAAUGCGAACAGAUGAAUGAAGUGAUUCUCGAGGAAGAAGUUGGUCGAUCAGAGGCAGAAGUGAUGAGUUUCCCUUGCUUAAGUAAAUUAACACUUAAGGAGCUCGAUAACCUAAUUAGUUUCGGUUCAGGAAGUGUCAAGAGGCAGCUAGGCGAGACAGCCGAAGAAAAUGAUGAAUCGACACAACCGCUGUUCAAUGAGAUGGUUCGUUUUAUUCUUUACUGUGAUAAUUCGUAUUCUCACAUUAUCAUGUUUUAUAAUGAAGAAUCUAAUAAAUUUGUCCAACUUAUCCUCCUUUCUCACAUUAUCCUUGUGCAGGUCACAUUUCCAAAUAUGAGAUAUCUAGAAGUUGAAGGCGUUCCAUGCAAAGAGCUAUGGAACAAUCAUGUUCCUGCCGAUUCCAUUGUUUGUUCCCAUAGAUUCCUUUCAAAAAGUGUGAAGGUUAAAAACUGUCCAUCCUUGAUUCGUUGUUUCAUUUUGGAUCCCUAGAUUCAAAUACGAAACAAAAUGCGGUAUUGCUCCCUGAAUUGGUAAGGAUCAAUGUUGAAAGCUGUACCUCCCUAGAAUCAUUGUUUAAUUAUGGGUCCCUUGAUUCAAAUGCGGAGCACAAAAUUAUAUUGCUCCCCAAAUUGGAGGAAGUAAGGGUGAGUGGAGCAAAAAAGCUGAGACACGUGGUCAUGAGCCACUCCCAAAUGGUUUUGAAAUUUCCUAGUCUUAGAAAUGUUUAUGUUGAGAAUUGCUCUGACUUGAGAUAUCUCUUCCCCAAAUAUACGGCCACAACUCUGACGAAACUUGAGUGGCUAAUAAUUAGUAAAUGCGAACAGAUGAAUGAAGUGAUUCUCGAGGAAGAAAUUGGUCGAUCAGAGGCAGAAGUGAUGAGUUUCCCUUGCUUAAGUAAAUUAACACUUAAGGAGCUCGAUAACCUGAUUAGUUUCGGUUCAGGAAGUGUCAAGAGGCAGCUAGGUGAGACAGCCGAAGAAAAUGAUGAAUCGACACAACUGCUGUUCAAUGGGAUGGUUCGUUUUAUUCUUUACUGUGAUAAUUCGUAUUCUCACAUUAUCAUGUUUUAUAAUGAAGAAUCUAAUAAAUUUGUCCUACUUAUCCUCCUUUCUCACAUUAUCCUUGUGCAGGUCACAUUUCCAAAUAUGAGAUAUCUAGAAGUUAAAGGCGUUCCAUGCAAAGAGCUAUGGAACAAUCAUGUUCCCGCCGAUUCCAUUGUUUGUUCCCAUAGAUUCUUUUUAGAAAAUGUGAAGGUUAAAAACUGUCAAUCCUUGAAAUCGUUGUUUGAUUUUGGUUCUCUAGAUUAAAAAAUGAAACAAAACGCAGUAUUGCUCCCUAAAUUGGUAAGGAUUGAAGUUGUAAGUUGUCCCUCCCUAGAAUCAUUGUUUAAUUAUAGGUCCCUUGAUUCAAAUGUGGAGCACAAAAUUAUAUUGCUCCCCAAAUUGGAGAAAGUUAGGGUGAGUGGAGCAAAAAAGCUAAGACACGUACUGUUCAUGCUGAAGCUCUCGACUGGGUUUGCGCGAGCACUGUUCAUCGCCUGCGCGUCUCCCAUUUCCGGCCGUUCUGGCCGGCCGAUUGCGCCCAUGCUUGGAGACAACAUUCCUCUACAUCUGAUCUUGUCUUCUACCGAGCGGUUUUCCCUGGUAUGUCUUCCUCAGCUGGAAUCUCGGAUCUGAGUUCUUAGGGCUUGAAAUUUUGAGUUCGCCGUCUCCGAAUGGCGUCUUCCUCUGAGGUAGUGGAAGAUAACCGGGGUAAAGCCCAUGUUGUUGCUCCGGUUGAGCACCCUCACUCCCCCACACCCACUCAUAACCCUGUUAUGCGAUACUCCUCGGCUCUAAGAGGACCUCGCGCCCACUCUGGGCGUUCGCGAAGCAGGGGACAAAGCAGGGCUCGUCCUCUGCUGGGUAUUCCUGCUCGGCUAAAUGCUGUUGGGCGUGAUAACGCCUCUGCUGGUCUAAAUCGAAAGGAUAGGAAGAUCUCCUUCAGCCGUGACACUGCAUCUAUCCCUGUUCUCCACGGUCGUGAGGCCAAAGGGCGUCCGAAUGCCCCGAAUAAGGCGCCGGAGGAGCCAUUUCUGAAUGUACAUGUUCCCCCUGUGAAGGAAACUCCCCCUCCUGCUCGCUCCUGGGCUGCUGUAACCCGUUCGGCAACCAAAGGCUAUGGUUUAUCCUUUGUUCCUCCGGCCACAAUUGAGAACUCUAAGAUUCUGCAGAUGCCGGAGGAGAUUCUCGAAUCUACUCACCCGAAAUGGGAAGAAUGUCUGGUUGGUUACUACAUUGGGAAGCGCCUACCCUUCCACCUCACAGAGGACGCCCUCAAGAAUGCCUGGGGCCAUCACUUGGUCGAAGUUAUUGCUGCUGACCUUGGUUUUUACUUCUUUCACAUUCCGGAUAGUGAAUUCAGGAGGAAAGUCUUGGAUGGAGGCCCGAUUACAGUAGCCAAAAUCCCCUUGAUCCUGCAACAAUGGCACCCUAUGUUGGAGCUCAAGAAAUCAACUCAUAAUACUGUCCCCAUCUGGAUUCGACUCAGGAACGUCCCUGUGGCUCUAUGGUCUGCUGCUGGCAUCAGUUUUCUGGCAAGUAGUAUUGGUAAGCCCUUAUUUGUUGAUAAUCGAACUGAACAGAUGGCAAUGGUAGCUUUUGCUCGAGUCUGUAUAGAAGUUGAUACGUCUAACUCUUUCCCUGAAGUUAUAGAGUUUAUGAUGAAGGGUGAGCUUAGAUCAGUGACAGUCCAAUAUGAGUGGAUCCCGACACUUUGUCCAACCUGCUCUUCAUUUGGCCAUAGAUGUCCUGCCCCCAAUUCCUCAGAUCCUACUAAACCUGGUCCCUCAGUCCCGAAGGCACCUGUCCCUCGUCCAAACGAAUGGCGUGAAGUGCGUGGUAAACGCAAUAAGCGCACCCCGAUGCCUGCAAAUGAUGGCCUGAUGUAUGAUCCGGUCCCGAAUCGUCCCAAGUCCCCCCGUUCUGAAGGAAACCAGAUUGGAGAUCCGAUGCCUCAGAUUUCAAUGGCCCUUCAUAGGCAACCAGAGUUAACCAGGCAGGAGGAUCAUCAUCCUUCCUUUGAUCUGUUCCCUGCCACCUCUAUUGACCCAGAUUCCGCUGCUGUGAUGCAAAGACAGGGUUCCCCUGGCUCGAAUAAGUCUGCACCUUCAGAUGAAAAUCAUGAAGAUAUCAGCUCCGAUGACGGUGAAUCUGUAUCACCUUGUAAGGUGCCCUCGUCCAUACCGGAGGAACGCGAUAAAUUUCCCCCUCCGAAGGUCAAUCAGGAGGCCCCUGUUCGUCAAAAAGGAAUCCUCCGCUCUGAAUCUGCUGAGGCAAGUAUUCCUGCUGGCCCGAAGCUUAUGCCACACUCGGUAAGGAAACGAGGUGGCAAGAGAAGGUAAUCCUAUUAUCUCAUUCCUAUGUUUUUUGGUGUUUGGAAUAUUAGGGGUCUUGGACAAGCCCUCAAACAAGCUGAGAUUAGGAAUUUUGUGAGGACUAACCGCCUCUGCUGUAUUGGUAUUUUGGAGACUAAAAUAUCCCCUGCUGCCCAUUCCCAUGUUUCAGCAUCCCUUCUUCCUAGGUGGUCUUGGUCUACAAAUUACUCUUAUUCCAUCAGGGGUCGUAUUUGGGUGGGUUGGAACCCCUUGGCUGCUUCUUUUUGCAUCUCAGCUUGUUCUGCUCAGGCCAUUCAUGGCCGGUUGGAGUGUUUUAUUUCUGGUGUUGCUUUUAAUCUUUCGGUAGUCUAUGCGGAGCAUUCUUUUGUCUUGAGAAGACCGCUUUGGAAUGAUCUGAUCUCCACUAGUUCCAUUUGUCUGGACAUCCCCUGGAUUGUUGCUGGUGACUUCAAUGCCAUUCGGUAUGCUUCUGACAGAGCAGAUAGAUCCAAUUACUGGAUCCCAGCCUUUGAAGACUUCGGAGAUUGCCUCAUCCAAUCUGGUCUAGAUGAUCUCCGCUUUGUGGGUAACAGGUUUACUUGGUCUACUUCGUCUGGUCCUAAUCGAAGGCAAAGAAAGAUAGACAGAGUUCUUACUAAUGCAGCUUGGAUCUCGGCCUUCUCCUAUUCGGAAGCCAACUUUCUUGCCCCUGGAGUGUCUGAUCACUCUCCUAUGGUGGUCAGGAUUCUCCCUGUUCCUAGCUCGCGUAAACCCUUCAAGUUCUUCAAUUUUUGGAUGUCACACCCCAACUUCUUUGAGUUGGUUCGGCAAAUCUAGGAGCUGCGUAUCUCUGGUACGCCUAUGUUUGUCCUUUGUAGUAAGCUUAGGUCCCUUAAACGCAGACUCAAAUUAUUAAACAGGGAGGCUUACUAUGAUAUUUCGGCUAGAACUUCUGACGCCAGACGUCUUCUCGUGGAAGCUCAAAACGCUAUUCAGUUUGACCCUCAUAAUCAAGCUCUAGCUGAUGCGGAAAAGGACCACCUCCGUGUCUUUUCUGACCUUCGCCUCAAGGAAGAAUCUUUCUACAGACAAAAAUCAAGGGUCAGAUGGCUUAAAGAAGGUGACUUAAACACCAGGUUCUUCCACCACUCGGUGAAGCGAGGCCAUCUCCGGAAUAGAAUUCUCUCGAUUUCUGAUGGUAGUAAUGUAAUUACUGAUGAAGUUGAAGUGCAGCAACUCUUUGUUAAUCACUUUCAAAAUCUGCUGUCAGACGCUACCCCCUCCGCCGUCCCGUCUGUUGAAGAGAUUCGUGCGAAUCUGGCUUCUACGCUCGAUGAUAAUCAGAUCCAAGCCAUCUCUCAGCCAUUCACUGAAGAAGAAAUCCAAACUACUUUGUUUUCAUUGGCCACCGGAAAAGCCCCUGGCCCGGAUGGUUUUAAUGUUGAUUUCUUUAAGCAAUCGUGGGAUAUUGUAGGCCCUUCCGUUCUAUUGGCAAUUCGGGACUUCUUAUCUACAGGCCAGCUGCUUCGUGAGAUCAACACCACUAUUCUGACCUUGGUCCCGAAGUCCCCCAAUGCUUCCACGGUAAAUGACUUCCGUCCUAUUGCUUGUUGCAACACUAUAUACAAGUGUAUCACGAAACUGUUAGCCAAUAGGUUAGCUUCUAUGCUCCCAUCUAUAAUUAGUCCCCCCCAGAACGCUUUUGUUAAAGGGAGGAGGAUAAGUGAUAAUAUCAUGCUUGCUCAAGAAUUAUUUGCUCACUUCCACCAUGAGCCUUACUUUCCAAAGAACAUUAUUAAGGUUGAUUUCUCCAAAGCUUAUGACUCAGUUGACUGGAACUUUAUUGAGUCGACUCUCCAAGCAUUUGGCUUCCCACCCACAUUUAUUGAUCGAAUUAUGACAUGCAUCAGAACCCCCAAGUUCUCUAUAGCUUUAAACGGUGAGUUGCAUGGUUUUUUCCCUAGUGGGAGAGGUAUCCGACAGGGGGACCCUCUGUCCCCAUAUAUCUUUACUCUUGUAAUGGAAGUUUUUGCGGGCAUUAUAAAUGCCCGCACCUGCAAACCCGGAUUUCAGUUCUUUUGGCGUUGUAAACCCUCCAAGUUGUCCCAUCUAUUCUUCGCUGACGAUGUGUUGCUCUUCUCGGAAGCAAACAUGCCGUCUCUAAGCCUUCUAAUGGAUGGAGUAAACACUUUUGCUGCCUGGUCUGGUCUCAUCCCAAAUCUUAAUAAGAGUGAAAUCUUUAUCUCUGGGGGGCAUGAGUCUUUGAAGAGUGCAAUGGUUAAUGCAUCGGGGUUCAACCUUGGAUCAUUGCCCUUUCGAUACCUUGGCGUCCCCGUAAUUUCCUCAAGAUUAGGCAAGGAAGAGUGUGUAUCUCUGGUGGAUGCUAUAAUGAAGAGAGUUCAGUCAUGGACUAACCGCUUCCUUUCAACUGCUGGUAGACUCCAACUUAUUAGAUCUGUUCUCCAUUCCAUUCAGGUGUAUUGGUCUUCGGUUUUUAUCCUCCCCUCCUCAGUUAUUAAUCGAAUUGAGCAGAUCUUCCGCCAAUUUCUUUGGCGUGGCCCGAACCUUGGAUCUGGUGGUGCUAGAGUUUGUUGGGAAGAAGUCUGUCUUCCUAAAGCGGAAGGAGGACUAGGUAUUCGCUCACUUCGAGUUAGUAACAUUGCUGCCAUGACUAAGCAUAUAUGGUUGCUUUUCUCUGAUAAGGAAUCGCUCUGGACCAAAUGGAUACAUUCAGUCUUCUUAAAACACAAGAAUUUUUGGAUUGCGCCUAGACCGACCGUUUGUUCUUGGUCUUGGAAGAAACUCUUUGGCCCGCGUGAAUUGAUUCAGAGGUAUUUUGCCUGGAACAUUGGUAAUGGGUUAUCGACUUCUUUUUGGUUUGAUACCUGGCACCCUCGUGGCCCAUUCAACAAGUUAUUCUCGGAUCGUGACAUAUAUUGCUCUCGUAUCCCUCGGAAUGCUUCUGUUGCUACGGGUAUUGCUGCCCUGUCUAUCCCGUCUAAUGUAGCUGUUGCUAUCCAGACUUGGGUUGAUCCUCUCCCCAGCCUCAACAGUCAGGAUGACCGUCUGGUGUGGCUUGGCCACUCUUCAGGUCAGUUCUCUACUGCUUCUGCAUGGACUAUGCUUCGAGCUAGAGGCUCCUUGGUUAACUGGUCUCGAUUUGUCUGGAGCUCCACUCUUCCCCCGCGUUAUCAGACCCAUCUAUGGCUGAUCACUCGGAAUAGAUUGCCAACCUAGGUCUUGCUUCUGUCGUAUGGGAGGAUCCCGGAUGUUUCCUGUGCCUUCUGCUCAAGUAGGCCAGAUUCAAUCGACCACUUAUACUUUGGUUGCUCAGUUACGGGUAGAUUGGCCUCUUUCUGGGCUUCUAAAUGUAAUUUGAGUUGGCGAAAUGGUCCUUGGAAAGAGAAUCUACAGUGGAUGGUCAGCCAUCUCUCGGACUCGUGCUUCCACCAUUCCAUUGCUCGCUUUGCAUUUGCUACCCUGUGCUACCUUAUAUGGAAGGAGCGAAAUAACAUCAUCUUUCGGAAUCAAAGCCUAUUCCUGCCCGCUCUCAAAGAUCGUCUUCGGAAAGCUGUCAAAGAUAGAGCCUCCACAUUCUCAAGAGUUCCGGAUAACCCGCGUAACCGAAGACUCCAAAUGUGCUGGGGAAUCCACCCUGCAAUCUUUGAGUAAGGUCUCCAUACUGGCCUGUCUUCCUUGCGCUGUGAGAUGUUGCUGCUGUUGAAUAUGCGUCCUGCUCUCCCUUCGCAAGGCUGGUCUGCCUCUGUUUCAGUUGUUGCCGAGAUAUUCCCCUCCGCAGGCUCCUUGGCUUGGCAGUCUGUGGUUCCCGGGUUCUUGGCGUUUGCCUGGUUUUUUUUAUUGGCCGUCGUGUUUGGCCUUUUGCAGCUUUUGCUGCUAUUGUUUCCUUUUGGCUUUUUAGGCCCCGCCUCCCAUCCACUCAGUCUGACGCCUGUGUCAUUUUGAGUGCAUGAUUGGAGUCGCCUGUCUGUCUUGCCUCUUUGUAACUCCUUGUUUCUUUAGCUAUAAUAUUCUUACCUCUUACCAAAAAAAAAAAAAAAAAGCUAAGACACGUGAUCAUGAGCCACUCCCAAAUGGUUUUAAAAUUUCCUAGUCUUAGAAAUGUCUGUGUUGAGAAUUGCUCUGACAUGAGAUAUCUCUUCCCCAAAUGUACGGCCACAACUCUGACGAAACUUGAGUGGCUAACAAUUAGUAAAUGCGAACAGAUGAAUGAAGUGAUUCUCGAGGAAGAAGUUGGUCGAUCAGAGGCAGAAGUGAUGAGUUUCCCUUGCUUAAGUAAAUUAACACUUAAGGAGCUCAAUAAUCUGAUUAGUUUCGGUUCAGGAAGUGUCAAGAGGCAGCUAGACGAGACAGCCGAAGAAAAUGAUGAAUCGACACAACUGCUGUUCAAUGGGAUGGUUCGUUUUAUUCUUUACUGUGAUCAUUCGUAUUCUCACAUUAUCCUGUUUUAUAAUGAAGAAUGUAAUAAAUUUGUCAAACUUAUCCUCUUUUCUCACAUUAUCCUUGUGCAGUUUACAUUUCCAAAUAUGAGAUAUCUAGAAGUUGAAGGCGUUCCAUGCAAAGAGCUAUGGAACAAUCAAAUUCCCACCGAUUCCUUUCAAAAGUUGGAAUAUCUGUUAUUGAGUAACUGUGACAAUCUCCAACAUAUUGCCACUUCUUAUAUGUGGAAGAGGCUGCAACGUUGUCUCGAGAAACGGCAUUUCUCCCUGAAUUGGUAAGGAUCAAUGUUGAAAGUUGUCCUUCCCUAGAAUCGUUGUUUAAUUGUGGGUCCCUUGGUUUUGCAUGGUCUCGAAAACUUGAGGUGCAUUUGGCAGUUCGACAGUCUCCCAAACAUCCCGUUCCCAAACUUGAGAGAUGCAGAGGCUAUGAGGUGCCCCCGUUUGGAAAUGCUUUUUCCUACCUUCACUGCAAAAUUUCUCGGGCAAAUCAAAGAGCUAGUGGUGGAGUCAUGUGAAGAUAUGGAACUAAUUGCUAGCCAUGAAAAAUGGGAAGAAGCGACCGGCACCACAAUCACCUUCUCCAAGUUAACUGCUCUUAGACUUUUUAAGUUGCCGAAAUUCAAGGGCUUCUUACCUGAGAUAUACUCUCUGAAAUUCCCAUGCUCUGAGGACUUCCCAUCCUUGCGAGUCUUGAGUAUAGAAAGCUGUGGAGUAGAGCCGGACCAAGUCCUUGGU
rnacentral:lncRNA from 1 species